rnacentral:lncRNA from 1 species
CCAGAGUUAUGGGCCUUUUCUUCUCUUCCCUCUAGCGGCCCAUCUCCCACCCGAAUCCUCUAGCCCAUUCCCACCAGUGCUGCCCAACUCUCUCAAAAGAAAAGAAAAAAACACAGCCCCAGGCGAUCGUCUUCCUCUGAAAAAAAACUGAUCAUCUUCCUCCUCUCUUCGAGCGUUUCAGAACGUACGCACCUGCAUCCAUUAACCGCUGCCGUCGUUUUCAAUCCCAUCAAAAUCGAUCGUCUCUUGCAAAACCGGAACCAAAAAGUUAAUUCCGGUCGCUCCACGAACUGAUUACCACCAAUAUUGUCUUCCCUCUUCAAUCCCCAUUUCCAAUUGACACGCCCCGAAUACCGGCCGUCGGCAUUGAACCCUCAAUCUCCCUCCACGGCUUAUAAAACCCAAUUCGAAUCGCGUGAUCUCUAUCUCCUUACGAUCCUCUCUCAAAUUCCUCUCCUAAUUAUAGCCAAGGGCAGAACAAGGUCACACUUCCUUCGUUGCCUCCUCCAUCGCCAUUGCCCCCCCAAGAAGCCACCGAAGCCGCCAAGUGGGGCGCCAUUGCCCCACGCCUCCUCCAUCAUCGUCGCCGUCCCGAGAAGCCAGCGAAGCCGCCAGGCAGGGGCGUCAGGGAGCUGUACAAGGAGACCAAAGACGAGGACACAGCAGGGUCGCCGGCGGCCAGGAGUGUGGCCCGGCCCGUCCAUCUUUCAAGGGAGAAGCCGAGAAGUUCCUGCGGGGCAACGGAGGAAAGACCGAGAGAGUAACUUCAUUCAAUCUAUUGGACUCUUCUUCACCUUUGCCUCUUCAGUUUGUUUUCUUUAUUUUGCUCAACAAUAUCACCAUGUUCGAUCCUUCCUGCCAUGUAUUUUUACCUACGAUUGACAUCAACACUAAGUUUUUUGUGCGCGGAGGCUCUGCGCCUCUCCUCUUCAUGCCUUCCCCUCGAUGGCCGCCAACUCACCCUGCGCUACCUCCGCUUCAGAAUCGCAAAUGUUCCAACUUAUUAUCAUAGAUCUGCACAUCACAUCCAUGCCCAUGUGAUUCCGUCCUAGGCCGUUGCCAAUAUAUAAAUAUAGCGAUGUUGUUUGACAUAUUUGUUUUAAAGAUCAUAUCCAUUCUCCAAGCAGAAAAUACGUUAAUUUAAAUAUACGAAUAUCCAAUUCAAAUUUACAUAUUUCAAAUUCAAUUAUGCGUUGUACACCAUUAUGGUUUCUCUUUGUUGACAUUUUGCAUCUUAGGGUAUCGGCAUUCAACAAAUUCCUGCAGCAACACGCAGGGUACCAUCUAGUAUCUUUAAUUUGAGAGACCGAAUGCAGCGGGCAACAGGAGCGCACAUGCGCGCGUGGCUGCGAACGAGAUGCGGCAUGGCGGCACGCAUGCGCAGAGGACAUCUGUUAUGUUUCUCUCUCUCUCUCUCUGCACGAAUCUCCAGGCCAGCGAGGGUGGGGAUACGUCGGGUGUAGACAGAUCUUUCUCUGGUAUAUCUCAGCGAAAGAGCGAGCUUCCUAGCUGUUGUGGGGUUUCUUGGGCUUCUGGUUGGCUUCCUGUAGUCAGGGGUGGAAUCACACCUAGGGCAACUAGGGCUCUAGCGUGUGAUCCAGCUAAUACAUGUAUGUUGUAAUGGUGAUUUGGCAAAAUAACCUAAUUAACAAUGUAUUAGCCCUAGGCUUUCAUACUUGGCCUAGUUUAGCCCUAGUCUUAUGACAAUUCUGAAUCCGCCAACUGCCUGUAGCGUCCACUCAUCAACAUUUCCCAUAAUAAAAGUGCAUCCCUCUUUGUACAGCUGGUACUAGGCUUUCGAAUCCCAACACUUCACAUGCCCAUGAUCACGUACGUUGUUUCUCAUAGAAGCACUUAAAAUAGGUUACUCGACUCUUUCAUAAAAAUAAUUAAUAUCGUAUGCAUACACACCUUCUCUUUAACUCGCAUUUCUCCUUGACCUGGUAUAUAUAUAUAUGGAGAGUGAAUCUUUUAAAUAAUAGGCGCAUCUAUCUGCCAGGUAUUAAUUACCAUAGGAGUAGGGUCUAAAGGAAAUGAUGUGAAGUAUGGAAAGCCAGUGAUAUAUAUACGCAACAAUCGCUAGCUUGUUCUGCCUAGUGAUUUUGAGUUGGUUUACGAAGUCCUCCGAUCCUCCUUACUAGUUAGAGGAAUGUGAGUAGAAUGAGUAAGAACAUGGUGUGGCCUCGUGUGGGCAUGGGAGGUAUCGGGAUGAGAUUUGGCAUGCUACUUCUGUAGCUCGUGUGCUACUGCAGCGGCAAGCAUGCUCUACGGCCUGCUGAAAGGACGCCUACAAAGCGUCAUGGCACUGCCCGGAGAAUAUCUCCUGUCAUGGAUUGUAUGGGCCAUGAGAUGUAAGUGGAGAGGACCGAUGUGGAGGACCAGUUGCCAAGGAGAAGAGCUGUACCACGGGGUCGACAUGAGCCGAGCCGAGCCACCCUUGUCCUUCCAUCGCCGCCAUCUCUGCUCGGAGAGCGAAGGCGCACCGAGCACCGGGAGGCGGAGCGGUAGCACGGGCAGCGCUGCGGGCAGUCCGUUAAGAUGGCGAUAGUGGUGGGCUGGGCGCCUGGGAGCGACUGGGCCUUAACAUUCUCUUCAGGCCGCCGCGGGUUGGCGAGGUGAAAAUUCUGGCUCGGCUCGGGCUGUAUGGAGCUCGAAAGCUCCGCGGAGUUUCCAUCGUACUAGAAUUAAGUUCCCAAUGCACUGUAGUUGUUGCGUCUUUUCGAACCGAGAUAAAGUGAAUGCUGAAGUUAGGUGACCAUAAGCCUGACGGAUUGUUCAUAAUGUACAAUCGAGUUGAGCUUUGCUUUGAGAAUGGUUGUUUAGACAAGAGAAUAAGAAAAGUCAAAUCUCAUAGGAGGUUAUGAUGAACGGAUGGUAUCAUUUUCAGCAAAUAAUUCUCCCGAACUUCCACCUCCCAGCAUGUUAAUAAAAUUGUGCGAAUUGGUCAGCCAAACUUCCAUUCCCAAUCUCUUCUUAACUUUUAUUCCCACCAACCAAACAAAUGAUUUAUUAGCACACAAUCUUUAACUCCGCCCAUCCCCAGUCUCUAAUUCCCGCCUCUUUACUAUCUCAAAUUGCAUAGAUAACAAUCGGCAAGAGCAUCUAGCUGUCUAUAUAAGUGAAACAAUGUAUAGAAAAUGUAACUUGCAUUGCUCUGGUUUCAUAAAGUGCAGGUAUAUAUACUUUUUUUUCUGCGACGAGCUAGCUACUUUGAUUUUGUUGUGGUCAAACCUUUUUAGCAUCGAGCUAGAUCGCACAUGUGUAUGUAUGAUUGAUGCCGCAUCGAUCCACAUCUACACCUUAAUUAAUAAGGUCGUUUUGGUCAUGCGAGGCAUCAGGGACCAUGUUUUGCUUUACUUUGCAUGCAACUUCACUAGGUAUGCUAGCUAGUAUACAUGUUCUGUCAUACCGUCAGUUUGAUGUAAGAUAUAUCACGUAUUGCCUAGGCAUAGUUCCUGCUCGCACCUGUAAGAUACAAUGCUCAACUCUAGGGCAGUACGAAUAAAAACACUUCAAUGACCACACCAACAUUUUUAUUUUGAGGAACGUACAGCAGGCAAAAGUGCCUACUGGAACAUAUUUAAAAAAAAAGUAAAGUUCAGGGCGGUUUUACAGGGAAAAAAAGAAAGACAGCUAUCUAAAUAUAUCGAUCCAUAGCUUGAAGUUUUUCUGUAUGCCUUUCUCUUAGCCCUGUGGAAGACAUGGUAAAUCUCCUCCUUGAAGGUUCUUCUGCAUAUCUUCUUCAUCGCCAUUGUCGUCCUCCUCUUCGUUGUCGCUCUGCUCACCGGCUUUUGCAGCUGCAGAGGCAGCGAAGUUAUUCCCAUGGUACUGAUAAUGCUGGCAUGUGCAGGGCCGUGCUGAUGGUGUUGGUGCCUGCUAGCCUCGCUAAUGUGCUAGCUAGCUGCCAUGGUGAUUGCUGGCUUGCUGCUCGUCCUGAGAGUAGGAACAAUUGUUAUUCUCCUAAUAUACAAUGUGGAGCACUGAGAGAGGCCUUAGAGCAACUCCAGCCGCCCCCCUAAAGGCCCCCUAAACGGGCUUCGGGGGCCGGCGCAUAAAAUCCGACCCAGCCGGCCUCCCAAAAUGUUUUUUUAGCCGGCGCUUCCAGGCCGAACCCACCCCACGGGGAGGCAAGCGGGGGCGCCGGCGUGUCACGUUAUUGCGGCGGGCUCGCCUUGUCAGCGGCAAUUAAUCGCCCUCAGCGAUAUCCCACCGGCUUCCCCGAGACGAUUAAUGUCGGUCGCUGGUGGUCAAGGCCCCCACGGAUGGCAUCUCAGCUGGGGAGGCAGGCCAGUCGCCCCGGUGCCGACUGGGGCACGCCCGCAGGAGCGCAUCUGGGCGCACUUUGUCCACCUGACGCCGGAGCAGCAGGCUUCGGCAGAGUGGAACCGUGAGACCAGCACCGCAUGGGCCAAGCUCUGCGCCGACGAGCACGAGCGCGCCGUCCGUGAUGUGCUGCACCCGACAGUGCGAAACAACAUUCGACGGGCAGCGCGCCUUUUGCGGGGGCGCUCCGUCGAUGACGUGUUCGCCUCCAUCGCCGCCGGCAAUCAGCCGCGGCCCUCACUCCUCCACUGGCCGGACGCCACCGCUACCUGGGCGGUUGCUCCGGCUCCUCGUCGUCCACAUCGGCGGAGGGCACACCUCGGCUCAUCAACGAUGAACCGGGUUCUUCGUCGGCCCGAGCACGACUGGCCACUUCGGGGCUCAUCCACCUGAAGCCGGAGCUGGAGGACUGGACGUCUCCUCCGGAAUACGAGAGCGCCGCCAUCGAGCACCGAGGCGACGACGACCCGGAGGAGUACCCGGGUCAGCGUGCCGCCGAGCGCGCCAGCCAGGAGGAGGCAGAGCGGCGCCGGCUCCUCGGCUACGCGUCCGAGGCCGAGGUCGAGGCCUGGCUGGCCGACGAGGCAGCCAAGGAGGCGGCGAAGAAGGUGGCGAAGCCGGCACUCAUGCCGGUGAAGCAGGAGCCGGGAGUCAUCGUCCUCGACUCGGACGAUGUCUCCGGCUUCAACUUUGACAGCUCCGGCGACGACGACGACAGCGUGGGCGACUCGUGGAUGGACCACUGAGACGACUAGGUUUUUAUAUUAUGUAAAUUAUCACAAGUUUAAUAAAAUGUCGUCGAACUUUAUGAAAUGUUGCCUAUUUUGAUGAAAAGUCGCCUAAUUUAAAAUUUGCUUCGUUCUAUUGGGGAUUGGGGGCCGGGCUGGGACACAGCCGGCACCAAAUUAUUCUUUGCACCGCCCCCCCCCCCCCCCCCCCCCCCCCAAUAUGGCCGAAAAAUGUGGCAAGCCGGACGCCAUAUGGGGGGAUGGCUGGAGAUGCUCUUAGGGUACCAACUGACCAAUGACCAAUGAAUUGCUACUGGACUGGAUGGGGUGAUAUGGCCCAUCUGUUAUUUCACCAUCUCUUUUUUGUGAAAAUAGUUUGUCUACAUCUACAUGGAGUGAUAUAAUGCGCUAACUUGUUACCAAAAUGACAGAAAUCUCAGUGAUUCGAAGGGGCAGAGAACUUGUCUUAAAAUAAAAUUCCGAACCUUAUUCAGAUCCGCGUAGCAAUACCUUGAAUCUCUAUGUCCUUUUCCCACGGACAACCUACAUGUUGAAAGGGUACUAGAAUACUAGUCUAAUGUAACUAGUGGAAUUCACCCAGAUGCUAUCCAUAUGUAGCUGUUGACACUACCAUGUAUCAGGUCGUGUCCUUGGUGUUUUGUCAAGACGAUACCCUCGACUCUGCUAGGUGGCAUCGCUGAUGUGUAGGGGAAGAGGUGACGAUGCCAAUAAGCGCCUAUGCGUUUCACUGACUUUUAGCCUGUCCCCAAGUAAACCAGCGCCCCUUUCCAAAGUUGAAAGGAAUAUAUCCUGACGCUUCCCAGUCCCAGACCCAUGAUCCAGGGAAGAAAAAUGAGAAAAAAAAUACAGCAGUGCUCGUAGCACUUAAAACAGUCGCUCGUGAAGCAGAAAUAUGUAAUGUCCCAAGUCACUGUCUCUUAUGGGUUUGGGCUGUAUGCACCCAAACGUCCUUCGGCAAUUGGUAUCAGAACCAGCAUCUCCUGCCUACCUAGCUCAAACCCAAGCCUGCGUGGCGAAAAAGGGGGGCAUAAAGGGGGAUGGAAUGUCACGGCUUGAGGCAGUUGGAGCGCCUCAGAGUUUAGUCCCACCUUGCUUACGGGAGGAGGCUGCGACCAGCUUAUAAGAGAAAGCCUGACCCUCCCACCAGUCCGGGUUUUUGGGAUGUGGAGAGAAACGGUGAUCUUUUAUGGGCUUGGGCCGUAUGCACCCAAACGUCAGUCUUCGGCCAUGGCGUGCCUGAGGAACGUAACAGUCACCUUGCGUUAUACGGAGUAUAUAUUUCAGUCACCGAUGAAAAAUUAAUUAUUCAUAACUAACGUGCAUAUACAACAAGUUCCCAUUCAUUGUGAUAUGGUAUGCGUAAAGUUUUCUGCCACCGUCAUAUGUGAUAAUAACGGCAUGCUGAAAGAAAAACUGUAGGAGAGUAUUCCCAUGGCAUAUUAAAAAGAGUAGUAACAAAGUAAUAGUGUGUAGUCGGAUGAGCCGGACACUAUUUCGACCGUGGACCUACCAUGUCCCCAAAUUUGUAACUGAUUUGGUUGCCAAUGAUUCUGCUAUGCACCUUGGUUAACGGAAGUCAUGUUCCCUGCAAAAGAGUAAUGUGCAAGGAAGAGAAAAAGCAAAAGGAAACAAACACAAAGCCUGUGAAAUCAAAAUUAAAAAUAGUGGUCUGACUUUCUUGUAUUUUUCUUUCACACUCUAAGCUAGAAAGUAUGAAGAAUAAUUUUGUUCUCUUUCGUUGGUUUCAGCUUCUACGAGUUAAAUCCUGGUUAAAUUUAUAAAUAAUCUGGCCAAUUCGCACUGACCAAAUAUAGCUUUUUCUUGACAAAGACCACAUGUGUCGUCAUGGCCAUGGAAAUUUUGCUCUGAAGCCUCGAAAAGUAUUUAUGCUUCAAUUUACAAAUGAGCAUUUGCAAUGCAUGGAAUAUUAAGGUGAAACCAAUGUUUAGAACAUGGUGUGCCCAUAGUUCCAUGCCCUUUCAUAUGAGAAUAGUUCUCUGAUCAGUUAAAUUUCAAAUAAGUCAACUUCAAAGACCCAUCAUAGCUUCAAGAUCUGAAGCCUACGAUCCUAUGUCUCCCAUGCACAGAUAAACUACUUGAACCGGACAGAUCACCAGCCCUUUCGAAGUUUUGUGGACUCACUGCUGAGGCAUAGAGCAUGAUGAAGCACACAUUUACAGAAAUCAGUACUUGGUUGAGAAGCUAGCUGAAAUUUACUAAAGUACCCAAGAGAGGGCUAUGCAAUAUAUAUAAGCUUCCCAAUGUUCUCUGUAUAUCUAUCUCCACAAACUGCUCUCAAUAGUUUUAUCUCUUAAUUAUGGCUAUCAGAUAUGAGGCGCAAAAGCUAAUUUAUUAUAUAGACAGAUAUUACAAAGAUGUACCCCACCUUAGGACAAUGUGAGCUUUCCAUGAUGCUCUCAAUUGUACCCCCAGUUUAGUAAUAACUACUACUGUAAGUCAUGUCCGACUUCGGCUUUCUAAUCUCUGUACUAUAUCUCAAUAUUUUUAGCAUCAAUCCCCCAAAAAAAUUUAACAUUUUCCUAACAGAUAGAAAAAUGCUGUUGUUCCGUACACGCACUACCUCUGUUUCAAAAAUACUAAACCAUGUUAGAUCUGUGUUGGUUGAACUUGUUUUAUGUUUAACUAUCAAUUCCAGAUGAUCUUUGAUCCAAUGGCUCAUAUUAAGGUUUUCAUGUUUUCACCUUAAGUUGGUUUUCAUGGGAUACUUUCUCAUUCUCCUUGCCAUGACAUAGUCUUUCAGCACGAAACUCUGAAAUCUGUGCCACGAAAAAUCAGCUCGUUUGGUUCUGUAAUCACUUAACCAAGAGAGCCUGUAUGCUUGCAGGACCUAAUCACAUAGGUGCGUAGAAUUCCUGAAACCUUCCAUUCCCAUGUAUACAAGAAAUUCUCUGCAAACUUGUGCCAAGCAUGCAACUAAGUAUGUAAAUUUUACUAAUCCCUCAAUUAACUGUGAUUUUGUAGAUAUGGUAGAGAGGUACACAUAGAUGUGUUUUUACAGGGGUUGCAUGCAGCCGCUUUUAGUAUAAUUACUGGAUGAUGCCCCAUGCGUUGCUCCGGAACGAUGUUAAAACAAAUGCACAAAUGCAUGCUUCAAAGUAAUUAAAAUUAAUGGAAAAAACGUAAAAAGCAUUACCACAAAAGAUACUAACAGUGUCGGACGAAAUAAGCCAUCAAUGGCGUGUGGCUGUGCCGCUACUGGCUUCACGUCACUAAUGGAGUAUCCAUCAAUGGCGUGUCCAAAACCCGCCAUCGAUGAGCUAGCCCAUCAAUGGCGGGCUUCCAUCCAACCGGCACUGAUAGGUAUUUCAUGAUUUAAAAAAAAAUCAGGCCGGAAUGCUGGCCGGAAUCAGCGGCUCGCCGGCGGGGGUCGAAACGGCGGCACGAAGGCAGAGCAAAAGAGUGGGGAAGAGGAUGGGAAAGGACGAGCGCGGCAUCAGGGGAUGUGAUCUCGUCUGCGUCGGGGAAGAAGCCCACGCGGAGGUGGAGACCGCGCCCUCCAUCGCGGCGGCGACGGCCGGAACUGGAGGUGCGCCGCCCUGAUCCGCGUGCUCUCGCUCUCGUCCUCUGUCGCUCCGCGUCUGCCUGCAGGAGAGAGAGAAAUAAAGGAGCUAGUUACAAAGAAAAACAAAGAGAUAAAAAGAGAGAGAGAACCUGUGAGGAGCUGCGGCGACCGGACCGCGGCAGCCAGGUCCGGGGCGGCGGAGCAGGAAGGCCCGCGGUCCAACAGCAGGUGCGAGGAGGAGAAGUGGCCGGAGUCCCGUCGGUGGAGAUGAUAGGAGCAGGGAGAAGGGAGAUGAGAGGAGGAAGAAAGGUCCAGCACAUGGGAGGCUCACGGGAGGGGAGGAGAUGGGAAGAGAGAGAGACAGAGAGAUGAGGCCACGAGGGCGAGUGGAGAAAAGGGAGAGAAAGGCAAUUUGCCAACUCAUCGAUCCAUGUCUUCACCUCUCAGCCAAUCAGGAAUGAGUACAAGGAUUGUGAUUUCUUUUGCUGGGACCUAACAGUGGCGGGUAAAAUUACAAAACCGCCACUGAUGGUUCACUAUUUGUACAGUGCUUAGAAAAUGAAAAAACAUAUUUUUAAUACUCUCUCCGUCUAACAAAAGAUGUUUCAAGUUUGUUCAAAUUUGAAUGUAUCUAGACAUGACUUAGUGUAUUGAUGCAUUCAAAUUUAGUCAAAGUUAAGACAUCUUUUGUUGGACGGAGGGAGUACAAGAAUUAGUUGUGAUUUUUCAAUUUUCAGCGGUUCCUCGGGGAGCCAUCAGUGGCGGGUUCAGUUGGAACCCGCCACUGAUAAGAGGGUCAUCAGUGGCGGGUUUUGGAAGGAAACCCGCCACUGAUAGCAUGGCCACUGAUAGGGGGUCAUUAGUGGUGGGUUUUAGAAGAACCGCCACUGAUGGAUGGAUUUUGGGUUUUUCGGAUUUCACGAGGAAGCCAUCAGUGGCGGUUUUUUUUGACACGCCACUAAUGGGGGGCCAUCAGUGGCGGGUGUUGAAGACCCGCCACUGAUAGGAGUCGCGUAUGGCUUGUUUUGUACUAGUGAAGUGUUUUGUUGUACAUUUAAAAAUAAUAACCUACGAAGUAUGUGACAAAUUGAUGUAUAAAAAGAGAAAAUAUUUUCUUACAAAAAGAAGACAUGAUUGAAUUGAUGGGGUGCAAUGGUUUGAAUUGAUAAAUUAAUGCAAAAAAUUUAAAGCAAUACAUCCAUAGUCCAUAGUUCGAAAAAAAGACAUGCGUGACUUAAUGAGAUGACAUGGUUUACAUGGCAAUGUGGAAGGCCCGCUGGGGUGACAUGCUCGUGUCGUAGCUAGCAAGUCUGUAAGAUCAGAUGCCGUGAAACCUGCAUAUUAGCAUUGAACAAUGGUCACGUGUAAUCUAAAAAAUAAAUUAUCAACGUAUAUACAUGAUUAUUCUUUGCUUUCUAAUUCAAAAAGGGUAUCAAAACAAAGUUGAAAUAGUAUACAUUCAAAAAAUGUGAUUACUCAUUUCAACGAGUUCAGACAUGAAUGGUGUGCAAGAGGUUUGCUGGUGCCCCUUUGAUGGUGGCAAUACCAUUUGAUAGGCAUUUAAAAACAAUCAAUGAAUUAGAGUUUAAUGCAAUGCAGAAUUAGAACAUUUCGUUCCUACCUACCAAGGACUGGCUGCAUCAAACGCGCACAACAUGGCCUACAACAAAAGGAGACGCUUUGUUUGUUCAGUUGAGACUUGUGCAUUCAGCUGCCAUUCAACAAAAAACUAAGGUGUUGCCUGGCCUCGUGGGCAUGGGUGGUAACGGGAUGGCAAGCCUAGCAACACGAUAUUCCACGGCCUGCUAUUUGUGUACCACGUGCAUCACUGCACAAGCAGGAAUGCAGAGGAUCCAACAACUGUGUGUUGUGAGCUUGUUGCGCUCCCUAAGGUAGACAUCCGCUUAGUGCUCUAGGAUUUUCUCAUGCAAGUGCAGCUACCAAUUAGGGAUGAUCUUUGUCUGUUUUUUUCGUCUAAUUGAAGUGUCCCCUUAAUACGUUUCCUUCUGUCAUUGUGAGAAACCUAAUGUUGGUACUAGUUGUAGGUAUCCAGGUUAAACUACCUGUCUCCAAGCUGGUCGGCACAUUGUGGUUUAAUUAGCAUUUGAAAUUGAAAAGCCAUGCUUCCGUAUAACCCUCUAAAAUAGUUUACGGACCUCAGUGCAUUUUUAAAAAGAGCAAUAUUGUAUUUUACAACCAAAAAGACUAGAUGGGUAAUUAGCAGUGUUGUACAUUGGCUGUGUGCAUCAGUCGAUGCAGAGACCAGGGAUUAUACUCUUUUUUAUAAAAAAGCAGCGUUGUACAUGUGAGCAAUUCCAUCCCACUGAAUCAGAUCCUAGCUCUGGUGAAAAUGUCCUUCUCUCACAGCUCGGCGGCCAAUUCUAUCUAUUUUCUUGGUUUUAAGUUUUGCGUGGAAGAUUGACCCCACACGCAGGUUUCUAAUAUGGUUAUGCCAUGCAAAGCUGCGAAUUCCAUAAUGUUCUCUAAUCAAUUCAUUUGCUUCGGGAUUGCCUCUUUUAGCCCAUAUAUAUGGAACUUAAUUUUUUCGAAUACCAGAAUAACCCCCAGCAUAUAUAUGGCACUUAAUACUUCUUAUUUUCACAAAGAAUGGCGCACACCUAUUUCAAGCUCAAACUUGCACUAACAAUUAGACCACUAAUAUGUACAUUACAUGUUAUAAAGUUUAUACCCUUGUAAACGUUUUUUUAAAUAGGAAUCCAAUGAUAUAAUUAUUGUAGCACCUAAUCCAUCAUAUUAUUAAUCUAUUUGUUGAUCAAAGUAAAACACCGAAAUACGUACGUGCCACUGUUGUGAAAAGGAGAGAAUAUAUAUGACUGUGGAUAUACAAUCUCACGUCUUUUUCCAUUCUUGCUCACCAUCAUAUUAUCAUCCACUAUGUUCUUUUGUCACUUUCCUUGAUACAACUGAUUUUGUACUACAUGGAGCCAUGAUUGUACUUUAUCCAUUUGUGUCUGACUUUGUUUUGUAACUAUCAAUGCGACAUCUCGGUACAAUUGUUCUACUUCUUUCGGGUAAGAACUUGGGAAUCUUUAGCAUUGACCAUAGGAGGAUGUAUCCGGAUGCAGCGCAAUCAGGGGGCUUCUUUGAGCUUAGAGCGUUUCUACAUCCCGACGCCUUCUAUUCUCAAACUGUUUCCUUCUUGUUGAUCUAGAUACGUAAUCAUGUAUGGCUGUGUGCAUCGACUGAUGCAGAGACCGGUGAUGUCCUUUUUUUAGAAAACAAAAGAUACAUAAUCAUGUAUGCACAAGAGUUCAAAGCCACACAGUAAGGAAAACCAUCCUUCAUAAUUUCAUAUAAACAUAUCUUCUUUAGCAACAUUGAUUGCUGUCCGUUGUGCUUCUGCUAUGCUCCCAGAGAAGAAACGCAUAUAUAUGGACGCUAUUUAUAACUCUUCGAUGCCACUGGUCUUUAACAUUUGAGUAAACCUGCUGUUGCUGCCUGUAGAAGAAGACAGGAUAUUGAAAAAAGAAAAAGCCAACGGGUCUAAUGAAAAAGACGUGGCGCCUGACAGACGGGACCCACUUGUAAGAAAAAUUGUAAAAAUCGCUUAAAUCAUUAUUUUGGGUGAUGCGAGACAAUUAGACACAAAACCUGUUGUUCUGCGGACAAAUUAGCAAAAGUGAGGGCUCGGUGAGAAAACUGCCUUAAAACCCGUGGUUAUGUGAAAUUUACCCUUAACAUUUAACCGAGAUGCAGCCAGUGUUCUAUGAUUAAGUGACUAAAGUUUAGAGGGUUAGGAUUCUAGCUAGAAAAAAGAUGUGUGAAGUUCUGCACCUACUCAUUUAGUCAUCUGCUUAUUUAAAUCAAAUGUCAUCCUCCUACAUCUACACUAGUAUGUUUGGAAUUGUUUUUUUGUUUUUUUAAGGGGGCGUUAAAACCUCAGAUAUUAGUUCUAUAUGUUGGUCGACCAAUAUGCUCGGGUAUUGAAGCAAAUCUCAAAAUGAAUAUGUGUCAAAGAGGUAAUUAUUCAUUGCAAUGAGUUCAAGAGUGCAUGGUGUGGAAGGGGAGUGCCGGUGCCAGCAGUAUAUAAUAGUUAAAAUUGCUGCUAAUAUAAUAACUAGCAUGUAUAAUAGUUUAGAUUUAUUGAUAAGAGUGCAUAAGUCAGAUCGAUUUUGAACUUCACCCCUACCUACCAAGCAAUGGCUGCAUCAAAUGUGCACAAAACGACCUUCAAGGAAAGGAGUGAAGUCUUAAAAGUAGGAGCAUUCAGCAACCAUUAGUUACCGGAGGUGCGAGUGACGAAUUGAAUAGCUCUCGAGUGUUUGACAUAUUAGCAGUGGCAUGGUUUGCUGGAUGGAUUUGAACUUGUUUACAGAGUCUGUAUGCCUACUGGAUGGAUGAGCCAAAAGUGGUGUCACCUCAUGAGCAAUUGAGCAUCGGAGGUAUCGGGAUGACAAAGCCUAGCGAUGAUAGAUCCCAUAGUCUGGGGUCGCCGGCGCUAGCUUCCAGCGAGAAGCCCUCCUUCCUGCAGCUGCCAUACCCGCGGUCCUGCUCUGGCUCUCGGUGCUCUGGGUUCUGGGCCGACCCGACGGCCGCCGUCCUUUUCCCCAGCAAACACGACAAGCAGCCACCUGGCAGCCGCGGCCGUGGAGAGGUGCAGGAUCUAGGAUGAUGAGGACAUUCCUUAUCCUUUGUCAUCUUUGCCAAAUGAUGAUCUUACUGUUCAAGAUAAACCUAAUUAUCUACGCAUUGAACCAAUUACAUGAGCACGUGCCAAGUUAUUAGAACAACAGUUGAACUCGCUCCUAACUGCACCUAACGUUUAUAUUGAUGAGAAUUUGAUACUGCCUAAAUCUUUGUAUCUUUGUGUAAUCAGGUUUGAGGCUGAGGCAACCGUGGAGCGUGGAGGAGAGGAGGCCGCGUGCGAGGAUCAUCAUGUGCUGUUAUCGAACAUCAAGAUAUGCGCGAAGGAGGAGAGGAAGGCAGGCGCACUACAAAUGAAGAUGGAGAAUACAAAUCACUAGAAGAACAACUUGUGUGCAAGGGACAGCCAACGACAAGAAUGAUCUGCCCACCACAAGUUGAGUACGAGUACGAGGCACACCAGGACAGCCUACGACGAGUCCGACACGUCUAAGGGGCGCCCAGACCUGUGAGUCCUAGUUUAAGCCAAGUCCUAUUCGGAUUGGUUGUAUGAGUUUGAGUCGAACCUAGUUUGAGUCUAAGUCCGUUUGUGUGUUUGGCUGCCCCUCGCCUAUAUAUAAAAGGGGUACGCCUACGGUUAGGGUUAGACCACGUUUUAGCUAUUUUCGAGACCCUUGUUGAUUGCGAGAAGCAUUCAUCUGGAAUCCUAUACACCAUAUUCGUUUCGAUAAGGUGUUUGUUAUCUACUGAAAUUUCGAGCGAAAUCUGUCGUUCCGCUGGGAAUUGGAAGAUUGCGAAACAGGUUGUGGUCGGCGGACUACUGCGCAAGUGUGUGGUGUUGCGAAUUUCCAUUGGAUUGCAAAUUCGUCGUGCGGCGACGGGUGAAUAGCCGGAAGAUUUGUAGGAUCAUACAAGUUAUCCACGUUGCUCGCUCAGAAGAUUGGGCCAUCCCUUAUCAUAGGAGGUGGCGGAGCGAGCAGCAUGGCGGCGGGCGGAGCAAGUGGCAUGGCUGCGGGCAUGGGCUGGUCGGCUUUGUCAACGUUGCGAAACCGGCGAGCAUGUGUUGUGGCAGGUUAGUCGGACCCGGAGCUGAGGAUGACCUCAGGAGCGAGGGAAAAAGUCCACUUUGGGUAGAAAAAUGCCACAUUGGAUCUAACAGGUGGGACCUAUUGUCGCGAUUGCCGUCAACUCGCGUUCAACUUUUAGAGAUUAGUGGCCAAAGCAACCGACAUCCCCAAACACGGUGGCAGUCUGUAAAAUAUUUAAAAAGGCUUGCUUCAAUUGUGAUUGUUUUUUAAAUUUGCUCCUAUAAAAAUGGUUGUGUGCAUCGAUUAAUGUAGAGGCUGGAACUUCUUAUCUCCUUUUCGGGAAAAAAAAUGUUGUAUUAUUGUAUACGAUGUACUAUUGACCAAUGGCCACAUAGUUCUACACCCAGCCAGAAGAGUUCGAAGCAACAAUUUGGCUCUGAUCGUCGCUAUUGCAGCUCCUCAUUAGACACUCUCCUCCCUAUACAAGUGCCCAGCCACUUCUUCAAGCACUCAGUUUUGGCAUCCCGGCACUUCCCAUGCCUAUCACACGGUGUUUAUCAUCGUGGUACUUUCGGAAAAGAUAUUCAAAUAUAUACAACAGAAACAAAUGACUAAUGAAUAUGUCAACACAUAUCUUCUCUUCUUGCAGGCAUUAGUCUUUCAUCAAUAUAUAUACAGAGAGAUGCAUGGCUGCUGGAUGCGCCAACUCUUUAUUGAACAAGGAGGCUCAUAUUUUUUCUUCUGUGCAUGUCAUUUAGUGGGUGAGCGUAUUAUUCAUUGUGCCCAGCGAUUUUGUUCUCCUGGAGAAAUGAGUGCAGGUACAAAAACCUGCUAUAAAUAAAAUGGCCUUUGCGCCAUCAUUUUUCUAUUCGAAUUAGAGGUCUUUGUGCCAUCUUACCACCUCAGAGCAUUGCAAGGCAAAUAUGACAAUCGAAGAGAGCAUCGAGCUGUUUCUGUAGAAGUAAAGUAAUCUGUCAUGAUUUCAUUUUGCUUGUGGUUUGACAUUAAUUUUAUCAUCGAGCUAGAUAUAUAGCUCGCAUUUACACUGAGUUGAUGCUGCAGCCUGCAGAAGUACAAGUAGAUGUUUUGGCAUGGGAGGCAUCAGGACAAGUUUCCUGUCGAUGCUGAACUUCUCCACGUUUUUCUGGCUGUCUGGAGAGUGGUGCUUCGUCAAGACACGCCGGACUCCAUUUCGUGGAUGCCAAACAAGUGCUCAACUCAGCGCAUGUCAUAAGCAGAAUUAGCUAGGGACACGAUAUUUACUUGGUGUUUGGCUGGUAACACUCACCUAGACACCCUGAUUUAGGAUGCCCUGUGAGAGGUUUUCCCUCUCUCUUUUUGGGUUUUCCUUUAUGUACUUUGCAGUUUCAGUAGCUCAUUGAAUCGACACAACCAGCAGACAAAUGAAAUUGAGGUGAAAGGUAUUGUGUCCGCUAGAAACUCAUGAUCGAGCUUUGUUGGAAAAAACUAGUAUCAUGACUUGCAUGUUGAACGAGUCGUGUCGCGACGUGUGGGGUCAGUUUGCUAGGUGAUCUCUGGAUAAUAAAAGAGGUAAUAAUAUUGAAACUACAAGAACUUGUAUUGCGUGGUGGUACAGUAACUUGACUUGCAAUGGCACAUUUGGUCAUAACCAAUGAAAGGCGACAUGUUGCUUGUGGUUGACUGGUUCAUUUUACGCAAAGGCCCCCCAGGCGUUUCGCAUAUUAAAAAGCCCCUCCUGUUGACAUGAUAUAACGUUGUUCGUUUUCUCCCUGUCUUUCUGUCACCUGAAAUUGUGGUGCAUGAAACGUGGGGAAAUACAAGACCUGAUGACGAACCUACGUUACCUCAGUAAGUUCCUGGACGCUAAUAAUGAUGGGUGAUAAGGAUCUAAACGUUCAAACGAGUAAAUGACCUGAUGACGAACAAUAAUCAUGAUUAGGGAACGGCCGUGCGGAGCCAUGACAUCCACGCACGCGCGCACAAGGCAACACCAAUUCGACCAGCGCUCAUUCAUUCGUUCCGUUUCAAGAAAAAUCUAGCUGGCUAGCUAGCAAAUGCACGUAGACCUCACAAUGGCAGAGUUCAGUUUGGAAACGAACCCCGUGGACGUACGUGGAGGAUCCAACGGAAAAUUUGAUUCGGAGUUUUUUUUUAAGAAGCAAAAUGGCGUUGUGGCAUUUUAUAAAAUGAACAAGUCAAGCCACAUGUCGUCCCUCCAUUGGAUAUGACCAAACGUGCACUUGCAAGUCAAGUUACUGUACCACCUAGCCUCAUUUUACAAUUUUUUGUACUAAACUGCUCGCACAAUACAAGUUCUUGUAUCUCUAAUGUUAUUGCCUCUUUUAUUGUCCUGAGACCUACCAAUCCCAAGCGAACCUGCGCUUUGAGAACGUUCUCAAUCAUCAGAAAUCACAAAUCAGAAUAACCAUCAAAGAUCACAAGCUACCUCUAAACAAUCUACUUUAUAUGCAGCCAACGUGAACACGGCCCCUGUUGUAGUUAAUUAUUACCUUGUAUAUGCUUUGGCUAGUCCAAGGUAAUGGCCUCAAUGCAUAGGCUAUUUUAUAGCCAAUUCAUCCAUCCAGUCUUCUAUACUGAUAGGACAGGUCAAGGACCGAUCUUAUAACCAUGGUAAAGUAUCCAAGGCCAUGAAGUUCUUAUCAUGGUCUGCAAUAAAGUUCAACCCACCUCCGCGGUAUAAUUAACUUACAUUCGACUUAAGAACCAAUUGUUUGCUCAGAGUUUGGCAGGCUCAUGUUGUUGGGAUCUUUCACGGUACCAUCAAAUCAUUAUGAAACGUCCGUUUUAGUAGAUCCAAAAGCCCAUAUUAACCUAUUUUGUAGUGGAGGGCAAAAUUGUACGAAAUAAAAUCGAACACAUAAAUAAAUGAGCACACACUCGAAAAAGCCUCCAGUCAAGAGCUCGCAAGCAGUUUGGAACAUAGCUAACUACUCGUCGCAGGCCUCACCCAGUAAACCACAAAGAACGCCAUGGGACAACAGAUCGUCACUUGCCCCAUGACGCAGCAGCACCGGCACGCGAUCGCUGCACCUCUCAACCAUCCAUCAGCACCCCACGCCACGGCAACACGUGCUGGCCGACCCACGACGCCUGGCAGGGUUUUGGGUUUCGUUUUCCAUAUUUUAUUUUUGAACAACAAGAUGGGUGAAUUACAUUCGGUUAUUUCGGAACAAGAUUCGUCCAAAAUUAACAAAUAAAAUUUUGAAUUUAUGAUCGAAAUAUGGACGAAUUUUGGGUGAAAUCUGACCAAACCUUUUGAAACUUGGAAAUGACGAAGGUACUGAGCAGGAACCAAUGUAAAUCGGAGCAGAAUUUAAUAUAUAUGGACGAGCCCACAUGACCAACUGUUGUCCGUGCUCCAUGCUGCUGCCGCGGUCGGCUGCCGCAGCUCCUUCGAGCUCCAAGAUGAGAAAAUGUGGAUGAGAAGCGAGAACCUAGAACGUCUUGUGCGUCUCCAUUGUUAUCGCACAAUUUCCAUUCAUCUGAUUAUCUCUUUAACCUAAUUAGACUCUCUACGUUUUUUUCCUCUUGUAUAUCCCCUGACUUAAUGUCCAUCAGAAAAAUGAGAUGGACCAGACGGCUCGAGCACUGGUGUAUCCAACAAUGCUGCAAGGGAUGAUCUCAUCCUGAUACCUCCCAUGCCUGCGUGGAAGCGAUUUGAUGUGCAAGAGGAAGACAUGUUGUUACAUGUCGGAACCCAACAUUGGGAUGAAGAGUUAGCACAACAAUGGAUCAUUUCCUCUGUAUCCGGCGACUUUCACUAUGGCAGAUCCAUAAGCCAACUCAGGCUGAUGGAUAGAGUUUUUUUACGGUACUCCGGAUUUAAUAUGGACCAUUUAUUUGCCAUGAUCUAAUGGUCAGUAUUAUUUGGUACUCCAUCCUUGAUCCUCUGGAGUACCAAGUCGAAAACUACCGGAGUAUUGUGAAUCGGUGGCCAAAAUCGUAAUCCCCUGAGAACUGAGAUCUUGCUUAUUAAAAAAGGGACAAAAGAUUUGGGUUUGCUUUGCCGGAGCCCGGCAGAGCGGAAAAGGCCACCGCACCACGAUUAGGUCAACAACCCGGUGAGACAUGAGCGGAUGAGGCUGCUGAGCCAAAAUUGAAAAGCUGCACCGGUGGAGAGGAUGAACAGAUGGCAAGCACCUGCCUGCCCGGAUGAAUUUCUCUCUCUCCCCCAUUUUCUCUUCGUCAAAAGGGCUGCUGAUUGAUCUUACUAAUUAAUCACUCGAUGAUAAUGAGGCUGCAUGUACGAUUCAAGUGAUUCAACGCAUAUUAUCUAUCACCAGUACAAAAUGGGCCAUUCGCGACCCCCAUCAGUGGCGUGUCGCGUGGAAACGACACUGAUAGUCUGAUAGCAAACUAUCAGUGGCGGGUACAUCUCAGCACGCCACUGAUGGGACGACGAUGGUCCAUAUCUCGUCCCUCGGGGCAACCAUUAGUGGCGGUCUACAGGAAAACCGCCACUGAUACCUGACUAUCAGUGUCGGGCCGUAGUGCCGAUCAGUGUCGGUCAGGGAAACCCGACUCACCUAUCAGUGGCCAGUCUGUGGCAUGCGGGCCGCGCGCCACUGAUAGGCAAUUUCGCACGACACUGAUAGCCUGUUUUGUACUAGUGUAUGCACAAAUCGAAUGGGUCAUUGCAAGUGAUUCAUGCAUCUUGUCUUCCAAAGUGCCGUCGAUUAAUCUGACUAUAUGCAGGCUCUAAGUGAUUCAUGCACCUUUCAAGGAUGUGGUGCAGUGACGGACUGUUUCAAGGCAGAGCCUUUUUACAUCCCGACACCUACUAUUCUCAGUUUGUUCCUUCUUGUUCACCUAGAUAAGUAAUCAUGUAGGUACAUAAAUUCAAAGCCAUCAGACACAUUAAGCAAAACUAUCCUUCAUAUCAACUAGAUAUUCUUUAGCAUCGUUUGUUGCAGUGUUGUUGCUGGGUGUUCUACUAUGAUUCCAGAGAAGGAAUGCAUAUAUGGACGCUAUUAAAUAGCUCCUCGGUGCCACCGUGUUUAACAUUUGACUAAGAUGUAGCCAGUCCUUGUUAAAAAAGAAAGAGAGAGAUGUAGCCAUUAAUACUUGAUUGAUUAAGAGUGAAGAGGUGUAAAGUUCUCCACCUACUAAUUUACUCAUCUGCUCAUUUAAAUCAAAUACCAUCCUCCCACGUUGAUGACCAAUAUGUUCAAGAAAUGGUUGUUGGGUUAAAUGGGCGUUCAAACCUCAGAUAUUAGUGCGGGUCAGCUCUCUAAGUUGGUUGAUUUGAAUAUAUAUCAUACUGAUAUUGUUUUUGAUAAAAAUGAAAAUAUCAAAUGGUUUCAUUUGUGGUCUCUGCUGCAGCAAUAAGAGGACAAGGGGAGCAUGGAGGCAGGUGGCCAGUGGCAGGAGGCGUUUGAUUUGGAUUUUAUGUCUUCUUCUCGCACGUUACUUUUCAAAAUAAAUAAAUCCAAUAUCAGUAUGUAAUGUGCUGCGAUAUCUGGCCUUUGAACUCGUUCAAUGCAUUGUGAGAUCGAACAAAGCUUUAUCCACUCAGGCCUUGUUCGGUUGCAACGAUACUGGCAGGGAUUAAACGGGAUUUUGGGGAAGUUGAACUAGAAUUCCAGUGUUCCCCGUCGAUCCCUGCCGGGGUGGGCACAACCGAUGAUUAGAUUAAUUCAUGGGUCAUUGUUGUAUCUGAAACAUGGAGACAAGAAGGGAGGAGCGUUGGCGUAGUCUGGUGGGCGGAGGAUCAUCGGAGACUCUCAUUCACAGAUGGCAAGGAGAUCUUUUGCACCAGCUGGCACCAUCGAUCUCCGACUAGCAGAGCACCAAAGUGUACAUAUAGUACAGAACUCUAGCCAGCGGCAUGCAGAUAUCCCAAGCUCGUGGAAUACAAAUGCCCUGCCUGUCGUUGCGUUCGACAUCGGUGCGUAUGACUUUCCGAGACCUUUCAUUCCCAUAUAUGUGAGCAAUUCUAAAUUUACAAAGUUGAGGCAUGUAUAAACAUGUAGAUUUUAGCUAUCUACCCCACUGUUCAUUUUCUAGAUAUGAUCGAUGGACAUACUGGAAGUCAUUUUAUAGGGGAUAAUGGGAAUGACAUUUUAACACUGGAAAAUGCAGGGAAGUUUCAAACUCUACCAUCUUCACUCUAAGGUUCGUACUAUUUCAUUCCUUCCACAUGUUUCAUCGUCCUUCCUAUUGUAGAAAAGCCCACGUACGUGCUCAGCCAGUGAUGUACUAUAGUUCACAUUAUGCUUGCAAGUACCACCUAUAUGCAGUCGUCACAUUCAAAUUUAGGAACAUUGAAAUCCAAACCACCAAAGGACACACGAUCCUUCAAAUGAAAGCUCCUGAUAUCUUGCUUACCGUACCAUUUACUAGCAUGAGGUCGUUGUUCUAUUUUUUUGCACUCUCUUGUAUAUCAUACUAGUUGAUACCCCGUGCGUUGUUGCGGGAAUAUGCGGCAACAAUUCUGGGAGGAGAACAAACGUCAAGAUUUUCUUGAAAUAAGGCUUGUAUUCAUGUACCUUAUACAUUCGGUGACGGGGAGCCGAGCGCUGAAUAAUUCACAGAAAUGGUCAUCUAUGAGGUUAAAUCGCACUAUUAAUUAAGAUGUGGUUUGCAUAGUACAGUCAUAUCCAAAUGUAUACUAUUCAAACUUAUUUUGGCACAAUUCAACCUCAUUAAAAAAAACUUGAAACUUAAAAAUGCUUAUGUUGGAACUGAAAUUACACAUGUCCGUUUAUAGCAUAACAUACAUUGGAUUCAUAAUUCGAUAAUCCACAAAUGCCAAUUCGCAAAAGGAUCAUCAAUGCAUAUAUAAACAACUCCUAAAUAUGGCUAGGAGGAGCGUGAUUUUUCCUAACUUGUUAUCAUUUUGAGUUAUAAUCUCUGAAAUCUGCAUGAUGUUUGAGACUUAAUAAUAUAAAGGAUGUGGAGACCAGAAGGACUCACUCUUAAAAAAAACUAUUUAUUGUUAGAUGCUACUCUUGAGAUCUCAAUAAAGAGAUAAAUCAGUUCCAUUGUGAGUUUGUGACCAGGUAGGCAUAAACUAACCAAUUAAGAUGUGGUCGGAUGGGUAACACCUGGUAAGAACAACGUGCAGUAUGUCAAAUUCAUGUUGAUUUAACAACUGAAAUAAAAAACAGAUAGUCAGAGAAUAAAGCAUGUGAUCGUGGACAAUUAGAAAGGGAUCUAGAAUUGAAAACCUAUACAAUAAAGUUCUGCCGCUCAUUAUAAACUGCCACUGCAAACAAAUCACCCGCAAGGUGUAAAAUGGCCACAUAAGCAUGGUACAAAGAGAAGUCCAAUUAAUGAAAGAAAUCCUUGGAGAAAUAGUAGAAGACUGGAAAGAUGUUGAGAGAGAGAAAAACAAAGUCACAAAUCUUGCGACAGAAUCACCUGCAUACAUAUAUAGAGAAGAUAAUAGUCUCCAAGUCCUUUAUUUGCACCUGAACAGUAUCAAUCAUCCUCAUUCUUCUGCAAAAUCUGGUGAUCAAGACUUCAUGUGGACAUAAUCUGGCAAACGAACAGUUUGCACGCUAAAAAGAACCAUUGGAAUCUUGCAAAAAAGAAAGGGGGAAACUUUUCUCUAUUCUUUUUUGCCGUACCUGAAGUACCUGUCAGGCGAGAAGGCUCUUGUCGUUGGCCAAGCGGCUCAAGGCCAGAAUCGCCGCCUCCGUGGUGCCAUACUCCUGCACGAUGCCAGCCACAAAGCUCCCGGCCGGCACGACGUAGGCGUAAUGCACUACGGGCAUGCCGUCGACAGGGUCGCAGCUGCAGGCCAAGGGGAUCCAGAGCUCCUGCCCAACGGCGACCUAGUUGGGGUCGGAGAUGUUUUUGGCGGCGGCGGUAUCCCGGUAUGUGAUGAGCCCCACGAAGACGGAGCGGGCCACGGCGUCCAGCGUGUCCCAGGUGCGGACGCGAUAGGCGGGCCGCUGGAAGGUGACCCGGGCGCCGCCGGAGAAGAGGCAGGAGAGAUCCUCUCGAUCUCUAUCAGCGUGACUUCGGAAGCGGACUGUCCACUUCCUUCCAGCUGAAGAUUAAAGGCAGCGAGUGAAGAGGAGGAAAGUGGGGAGAUUAGUAAACCACCGGGAAGAGGGGCGGUCCUUAAUUAAUUCAUGGAAGCUUCGGUUACAGAAUUAAUGGAAGAUGAAUGGGGAGAGGAAAAACUGAAGAAGUAACGCACUGUCGGACGGGGGAGGACCGGCAGGGAAGGCGAAGUAGCGCAGGCCCCAGGAACAGGGAAGGCAAGUGGACGGGCAGGCGAAACAGGGGCGAAACAACGCAGGCAGCAGGAAUCGGGAUCGAAGCAAUCUUUUUUUCUGGGCUGCGAACUUGGCCCACGGGUGCUGACUGUUAGUAACGUGACUUGUCUUGCACGUUUGUACAAGCCGUUAGUAUUGGUUAGCUGAUCUAGUUUAUCCCAACGUCUCUAACUUAUCUUAGUAGUUCGUUGGCAGCUUAUUCAGUAGUUUGUUGGCUAGAUUGUAGGAGUUAGCUGCUCUGCUGAAGGCAUCUGUACAUGUAUUUAUAUCCUUUGUGUUCAUCAAUACAAUCAAAGUGUUGAGCCACUCCAUCUCUCUCGUGUCUUACAUGGUAUCAGACGCUCGACGUCUCUGAGACCGCACUCGCUUCCGCUGCCCUCAUGGCAAACCCUGACACCAGCCUCCCUCUGACCUCCACGGCGACCGGCGCACUCACAGCUUCAACUGCCGCUCUUGUGUCGCCUACUAUCCUCCCUCCUGGCUCCACUCCACAGCCUGUAGGCAUCGCCGCUGCCCUCGGCGCCGGCACAGGCCCAGGCGUCUCCCUGAGCUCGCCCAUGGCACCUCUCCCCACUGCCCGUGCUCUCUUUGAUGAUGAUGUGGCCGCCACAUCCGUCGUCCGCGAUGCGGGCGCCAUCCCGGUGACGGCUGCCUCUCUGCAGCAUAUCCGCAUCAAGGAGCACGUUCUCACCGCCCUCGACCUCAAGCGAAACAACUAUGGCCGGUGGAGCACCCUCUUCAUGAAGGUCAUCGGCCGGAACGGCCUCGAGGACCACCUCGUUGCCGGCGCCGACCACAAGCUUGAGGACGCCGAAUGGAUGAAGGUCGACCUCACCAUUGUGUCCUGGCUCUACACCACCAUCAGCGAGGAGAUCCUUGACAUCAUCCUCGCGCCGCACGAUCCGGCUUUCGUGGUAUGGACAAAACUCUCAAGUCUUUUUCUGGACAACAUGAUGACUCAGGCCGUCUACAUGGAGGAGGAGUUCCGCAGUCUGCAGCAGGGCCACCUCUCCGUCACGGACUACUGCUCGCGCCUCAAGGUCCUCGCCGACGGCCUGCGUGACGUCGGCAUUCAGGUCUCCGACCAGUCCAUGCUCUUCAACAUGCUCCGUGGUCUCAACCCUUCUCUCGGCCACGCCAUCUCGGUGCUCACCAUGCAGCAGCCACUGCCAUCCUUCAUGCGCGCCCAUUCGUAUUUGCUGCUCGAGGAGCAUCGCCAGGAGCAAGCCGUGCGUCGUCAAGCUGCUGCCGCCUUCUUCGUCGACCGCUUCGGCGCACCGGCACCUGCGUCCCCGCAGGGCUCUCCUUCCAGCAGCAACAAGAAGAACAAGAAGCGCGAGACUGCGUCGACCUCUCCGGCCGCCGGCGGCUCGCGCUUCCCCAACUCGCCUGCCGCACCAUCCUGGCCACACGGCGUCAACCCAUGGUCUGGCACCUUUCAGGCCUGGCAACAGACACCGCGUGCACCCGGCGCUGGCGUCCUCGGUCCCCGGCCACCCAUGGCGCCCACUGCUCGGGAAGCCUACAACGCCAACACCUCCAUGAUGGCGCCAUCCUUCAGCUCGGCGACGCCCGUGGCUCCUGCUCUGGAUCCCAACUUCAUGGUGGCCAUGCAACAAAUGUCGCUCCAGAACAACGGCGGCGGCGACUGGUUCCUUGACACGGGCGCCUCGUCGCACAUGACGUCCAGCACAGGUAACCUCGCCUCCUUCUCCCCUUACUCUACCUCGUCUCAAAUUACAGUAGGUAAUGGUGCUCAUCUUCCUAUUACUGCAAUUGGCACUGCCUCUAUUUCUACUUCUGCUCGUCCUCUUUAUCUUCGUAAUGUACUUGUCUCUCCUAACCUCGUUAAGAACUUACUUUAUGUACGAACUCUCUCACGAGAUAACAACGUUUCUAUUGAGUUUGACCUGGCUGGUUUCUCUGUAAAGGAUCUGCAUUCCAGGGCGGCGAUUCUGCGAAGUAACAGCCCCGGCGAUCUGUACCCGGUUCGGUCAUCCCCUGGAGCUCGUCCUUGUCAUGCCGCCUUCACUGCCACCUCUGUCAGCUGGUGAUUUGUCGGGCGGCGUAUUGGCUCCGUACUUGGUCCCCGCUGCUUCCGACGGGGGCCAAGGAUUUUAUGGAUUUUGGGUGCAGCCUUAUGGCACUGCUCGAGAAAAGAUUAGCAGCGGCGGUCCGAAUUACACACCGGUGAAGGUAACGCGGACCGCCACUAAGCCUGCGCCAUUGGUGCUAAAGAGCAUCGGUGGCGGUGAUGAUACCUGCCACCGGUGCUAGCCAGCACCCGUGGCGGUUUGCACAACCGCCGCAGGUAAUCCGUAGGGAGCUUCAGAAAGUGCACCGGUGGCCGUGGGAAGGACAGCCACUGUUACAUACCAGUGGCGGCGCGUCAUCACGGCCACUGGUAGUGUACGAGUGGCGGUGAGUACGCAACACCACUGGUACAUUACAGUGACGGUGCUUACCCACCGCCACUGGUAGUAUACCAGUGGCCGUGAUGCCUCACUGCCACUGGUAUGCUUUCGUAGCACCAUUGGCGGUUCUCUGUCACCGCCACUGGUACUGCACCGGUGGCGGUGGGACGCAACUGCCACUGUACUCUAUUAGUGGCGGUGAACAGGAACCGCCGCUGUUAUUUUCCGGUUUUAGAAAAAUAUUUUUUUUAUAUUAGAAUAUUCCUGUAACAGUAAUAUAUCACAGCACAGCAAUAGAUAUAUAUAUGAGAAAAUCACACAUCCAUGAUAGAUAACAGCAUCCGUUCACAAAAUGUAGUACAAAAACACAGAUAUUCAAUAUUUAACAUUGUACAUCAAAGUUUCAAUACAUCGGCACAACCCCACCUUCAUAAAAAUCACCGUUUUCCUUCAGAACCUCUUUGUUGAGAAUGGUGGCUAUCACCCUCUGAAUAUCGAACACAAGAACAACUGGGUUGUGUCCAUAUUCUGAUUCCUACUUGAAGUAAUCCACCAUCUGCUGGUAGCUCAUCUUCGUCUUGGGCUUGAAAUUGGUGAUCCAAUUGCGGAUGAUGUACGCGCAGUAGUAACCACAGAAGACCGUACCUUGCGGCUGUUGUAUGCAUGGGAAGUUUCUAUGAUGGGUUAUUUUCUUCCUGCCGUAGCUUGGCAACUCAUAUUCAGUCACCUCCUUUUUCCACGCCUCUUCAAAGAGUGUUCCGACGGCUUUGAAGUCGUGCUACUCAUAGCCUUUCUUCCGUCGGAGUGGAUCAAGAUACGUCACCGACCCUUCUUCGAAAGAGAAGGCCACCACCACCCAAUGUUCGCUGUUUACAAAAAGAACACACAUUUAUAACCGAAAAGAGAACAACUUAGUGGAACAAGAAAGAAAGCAAUGGCCGUGAGAACAACUUACUCUAAAUGGUAGAGUGUAAGAACAUAACGGCGUUGCUUGUGCAUUGCGAAAAACUUAGAUUGGUAUGAAAUUGCCUUCUCUCUCGAACCCCAUUUCCAUUCUUCUAGACCGAUGGUUGCUUUGCUGAACAGUAUAGGAUCGACGAUGGCAACGUGUGGUUCUUUCAGGCGGAAGGACUCUCUUGUGAAGUAUACACACCAGACUCUUAACAUGUUGUUGUCUAAGCACUUUUGGUUGAAGACGUGAAACAAGUCAAGGAAGUCCACGCUGAAGGUAAAUUCCUUUGUCUACAGGUCCCCCGUUUCGGCAUCGUAGAAACCAUAAUACUCUGGCAUCUUCACAUUCAUCUGUUGACCAUGUUGUGCAGAAUUAGCUGAUGAUGCCAUGUAGUAGCCAUGUAGCUCUUGCAUCUCUCACGGCAGGCUCCUUAGGUCCUUAAGGCUAACCAUUGGUUGUCCAGGGUAGAACAUCAGCACUUUUUUUAAUUCCCUGGCCACGAAGUAGGCUCCGCCGACUAAAUCACCAGCUACAGGGGGGCUUCAUAUUCAAAAUAUCUGGCCGGUUUCCCAAUUCCCUUCGAUUAUUGGCGGAUUGCUGUGUUGCUUGCCCGUUGAGUCCAACUCUUUACUCUUCGAGUCACUUGAUCUCUUGCUGAUUUUGUACCCCCUCUUAUUGGUGCGCCGGCGUUUCAAAAACUCGGCCUCCUCUUGAUCCUUGAAGGUCUGGGAGACCUGCUUGCCAGACGCGUACUCCAACGCGCCUGCCACAGAUUUCCAUGGCACAGGUGCAGGUCGUGGUGGUUGUGAGGGUUGGCUGUCUUUACGGUGGGGCGGCGACGGAUUAGGCGGUGGCACAUGAGCUGGUGCAGUGUGAUCAUCGCUGCAGUCUUGGCGCUGGUUCGAAAUCGAAGCCUCCUUGCCUCGACGUUGGUGAAUCCAGACGUGACGACUUAUUGGGGGAUGGGCCAAGGGGCGAUGGAGAGGGAAGUCAUCGAGCGGAAGCCAGUGGAGACGCUCCGGGACACGACGGAGAGGGAGAAGGUUGGGUAGCAAGGGCAACCAACCUCCUGGGCCACUGGAUGUACGUGCCCUGGCAUAGCCCUAGAGUCACUGAUUCCUGCUCUGGAGGAUAAGGGACCGGCGUCUUGUCAAAUUCCGGGAGCACGUAGUUCACCUGCACCCUGACAUGAUCCAGGGCCAUGGGCGUGUUGUGCACGACCGUCAUUCUUGGCAUCAUCAUACCACGCGCGCCUACCGGAUUCCCGGUGGAUGGCAUCAAUAUCCGGCACUUAAUACUGUUCUCUGCAUGACAAACAAAUUAACAUACGUACGUUAGUGUUAUGGUGUGAAGAAUGACGUAAUUGCGUAUAUAUAUACUAUGGUACAAGUAAGGAGCUUACCGGGAUGUCAUCAGAUGGGCCAACAGGGUCAUCGGGAGUUCGGUGCCGGAGUCAGCACUGCUCUUAUACAGUGGCAGCGAAGGAUUGGAGUCAACUGAUGAUCAUUCGUAGUCAUAGGCCUUGGUGUCGCGCCCCGAUAGCCAUCAUAUGUAGCAACGAACUCCUCCAUAGUCUGGACGGAGUCCCUUGCUUUUUACAAGCAAGCGAAAAACUCCUCCCUCGUCGCCUUUUUCGCCACCUCUAUUAUUUCUUCGUGCUUCUCGGCCUUUCUUUCACGGCUCCGGGCUUCUUUCUCUUGAGGAAAGACUUUGCGGCAAAGGGCCUCGGUUCCUAAGGCUCGAAUAUGGCCCCCGUGCUCAUUUCUUCCUAGAGCAUAGCUGAGUGGUGAAUCCCAGUGUGCACGGAGCUCGUCGUGGGAGCCUUCCGACUCGAACUCGGCGACCUUGUCCUGAAAUAAGACAAAGUCGUUGCCAGUUUAUAAGUGAGUGUGUUAGAAGCUAAACUGAAAAAGAAGUGGCGGUUGAGGCCUUGCGAUUAAAACUUUCUGGUCUUCGCGGAUAGGCUUCAGGCCCGCCCACUGUUCUUUGGUCAUGGUACUCCGCACAAAGGUGGUGGACCGGUCAUGACGGAGCAUUGUUGGGACAGGAGGGACUAUCCUUCGACCACGUAGCGCCGCGUACCAAUCUUGGGUUGCUAUGAAUUUUGGAUCCUUUUCCCUCUCCUUGAACUCCUCCCAUUCCUCCUCUGUGAUCCUCGGCCAUUUCUUCUGAAUCGCCGACUCCCAAUCUUCGUACAAAAAAGCUCUGGCCUUGGUACCCCAAUUGCUCUGACCCCUACGCAUUGUGGUCUUCAUCGCUCCAAAUACUUCUUCACGGAGCACGGGAUCAGGCACCUCGAACCUCUCCCAUGCCUUGGCGUAACAAUCUUGCUUUACGCUCUCAGGAACCUCGGUCCAUCUUUGAUUGAUGUUCGUGAACUCGCGAACGAUUGCAUUGCAUGUGUUGGCAAAACACGACGCGGCCCUCUUUGGUGAUUUGGGUUUCCCCACGUCGUCAGUCUUGGUGACGAUGAAUUUCUCAUUCGUCGGCUUGUUAGACCCACGCGGCGCCUUCUUCUUCUUCUUCGAAGUAGCUUGCAACGUGGUAGCCUCAGAGCCUGCAUUGAAGCCCAAAGAAUCACCGCCGCCGUGUUCAGGCUCGUCGUCUUGGCUAUGGGUUAUUGGUGUGCCCAACGACGAAGAACCCUGAGGUGAGUCCUCAGGGUAUUCUCCAUCGCGACCCUGAGCUUUCUAUACAAUGCCCUUACAUGGAUUACUUUAAAAAAUUGAAAAAUUCGGCAUGACCCGUACUGUAAAUCUAGAAAAAUUCGGCAUGACCCGUGUUGUAAAGCUAGCGAAUUGGUCUACCCGAUAAUGAAACCUGCAUAAAAAUUACCCACCCACAUAUACCCCCUAGGCGCGAUGGCCGGCCCCUUAAAUUUCAAUGGCCUCGGCACGAUGGCCAGCCCACAUCAACAAGAUGCAUGUUACUUCCAUCGAGCAUGCCACAUCAUCACAUAAUUAAUUUGUUCAGAAAAACCCUAAGCAUGUUACUUCUAUCAAGCAUGCCACAUCAUCACAUAAUUAAUUUGUUCAUCAAAUUUGAAUCGUAAUCCCUAACCCUAAAAAGCAACAACUAAUCCCUAAUUUCCCUAACCCUAACCCUAAUUACUAACCUAAUUUGAAUCCUAACCCUAACCCUAAUCCCUAAUUUCUAACCCUAACCCUAAUCCUAAUUUCUAACGUAAUUUCAUAAAUAACAGUAUUUAUGAAACAAUGGUAGCCCUAAUUUCUAACCUAAUAACAGUAUGAAUUUGAAUUCUAACCCUAACCCUAACCCUAAUCCCUAAUUGCAGCAAAACUAAGAAUCAAGAGGAAAAAAUUGAACUAAGAAUGACGAGGAACUUACCUCGUCAGCGCCGGCAGCCGGGGAGCCCGGUGGUGUGUCACGGGGGGACGCCGGAGUUCGCACCUUGUCCAAGAAGUCUGGCGGGCCCGAUUCCGCCGUGCGGCGGGGUGGUGCCGCCACCUCCGUCGGCUCGUCGCAGGGCGGGAGAUCCGCUGUGGCUGACACCGUGGAGAAGCCACGGCGGCGGCCGGUUCCCCGCGUUCGCACCAUGGCGGCACCGGCGAGUCAGAGACGCGGGAGAAGGGAGAAGAGCGGAACGGCGCGAGUGGGGGAGGGAACGGCGACGGCGGCGACGCGAGUGGGGGAGGGGAACGGCGGCGGCAGCGACUUGGUGACGCGACAGGGCUUCGCUCGCAUUAGGGUUAGCUGUACCGCUGCUGGUCUGAGAGACGCGCGGGCGAGUGUUCGAAAUUUCGCCAAGUCCCGUUGCUAUCUAUUUAUAGCAUGUCAGCACUAGUGGCGGUCCGAGAGAAAGAACGGCCACUAGUGCUGGCCAAGGAGACUUUUGUGCCAGCACUAGUGGCGGUUCACCAAACAAAACAGCCACCCGUGCUAAGCACCAGUGACUGGUUUGUGCCGCCAAUCGCCACCAAUGCUUCUCAGGGCCUAUAGCACUGGAGCAAGCACUCGUGGCGGUCUAUUUGCAAAACCGGCCACUGGUGCUGCACCAGUGCUCCUGGAUCUAGCACUAGUGGCCGGUUUGUGCCACCAACCGCCACCAGUGCUCCUCAGUGCCUAUAGCACUAGAGCUAGCAGUGGUAGCGAUCUAUUUGCAAAACCGGCCACUGGUGUUGCACCAGUGCUCCUGGAUCUAGCACUAGAUACUAAUUUCUGAAUCAAGUUUUAAACUCAUAUUAUAUUCUGUGUACCCCCAAAAAUUAAAACACCUGUCCUUUUUUUUCACCUUGGUUUAUCAUUUUGGAACCAUCUAGGGUAGAUCUCUCAGAAACCAUCCAACCCCAUGAACCAAAUGUGACAUGUUAUCUUUGUUUGAACUUCAAUUUUUUUAGGAGUGUUCUAUAGCAAUAGGGAAGUGUCCACACCAAAUUUGACAAUUUUUUGAGGAAAGUUGAAUUUUAUAUAAUUUUUAUAGCACAAAAGCCAGACAUAAUGGCACUUAAUCAUAGAAAUUAGGGUAUAUAACAUUUAUAUUUAUGGUUCAAUUGUUUAUUGAGGAUAAACAAUAUUAUUAUACACAUAAAAUAAGAGGUGGUGUGUUUAUUUAAAACCCAGAGAAUAUAAUAUGAAUUUAGUAGCUUACUGGAAAUUCAUCACCAGUGGCGGUUUUUGUCUUGAGAACCGCCACUGAUAGGUGGUACACAAACUUAGGGUCUCCAAUGAUCCUGCGAAUCAUACCAGUGGCGGGUCUAUAGCUGCAAGCACCGCCACUAGUGCUCAAUAGUAGUGGCGGUUUGCCGUGUACUCACCGCCACUAGUGGUUAAAGCGUAUCAGCGGCUUAUGAAUUUAUACCAAAAUUCUCUCUCAAACUUCCUAUUAUUGAAACAAAAAGAAAAAAAUAGCAGAAAGAAAAAUGAUAGAAAAAUAGGCGAGAAAAGAAAAAUCAUACCAGUGGCUGUUUUAGUUGCCCGCACCGCCACUAGUGCUCAGUACUAGUGGCCGUUCAAUUCAUUUCACCACCACCGGUGCUUCACACCGGUGGCGGUUCUUUCGUUUUCACCGCCACUAGUGCUCCUCAGCACGAGCUUUCACGAAGCGAGUUGGGAGUUUAGUCCCACCUCGGUUGUUUACAGCCGUUGCGACCAACAUAAAUAGGAAUCUCCAACUCGGUCAUCACUUCCGAUUCAAUUUCCCGUGGUACUCUGCUCCUGGCCUGUGGGCCCGGUUGUGCUUUGUUCCUGGCCUGUGGGACCGGUUGUCGGUCCGAUUGUACUUGGUGGGCUCGGGCAAAGCCAUGUGGGCCCGGUCAAACCGGCAUUAGUAGGUCAUAGGCAGCACCCUGGUUCACCGGAAUGGGCCCGAACCCGAAAAGCCGUGUUGACUGGGUGGGCUAAUUUUUUUCCAAGAAAUUUGAUCAAGUUAUUUUGAAGUCUAGAAAAUAUUUAAGACAUUUGAUUUCAAAUUUGAACAAGUUAUUUCAAAUUCAGAACAUAUUUAAGACAUUUGAUUUGAAAUUUGAACAAGUUAUUUCAAAUUCAGAACAUAUUUUUUAUUUCAAAUUUGAACAAGUUAUUUCAAAUUCAGAACAUAUUUAAGACUUUUGAUUUCAAAUUUGACAUAAUACAAGUUACAAUUUUCCAUUCAAAAGCAUUGUUAAACAUCAACUACGAAAAGAUACACAAAUAUUCAACUAUUCCACAAUCUUGUCCUUCUUUUUUCUGGUCUUCUUCUUCCUCUUAUAUGUCGUUGUGGCCGCUUCCCUCUCUUGCCUCAGGUCUUGACUUCUUCCUUGCCUGGAUUGUGCGUGACGCUUCUUCUUCUUCUUGCUUUGACGUUGGAUCAAAAAAACCUUCAUAGUCUUGUUGUGAAGUAACUCCGUCGAUGCCAACUAUGCUUCUUUUCCCUCUCCUUACGACAACACGGUUCUUGCUUGUCGGGUCGUCGAUGAAGAAAACUUGUUUGCAUUAUGAAGCAAAUUGCCAUGGUUCCCAUCUUGUCGGGAUUUUCUUCACGUCCACUUUAUGACGAGGAACCUCACGAGAUAGGGUCAUUGUUGUGAAUCUAUGAUCUUCUUGAUGGUGGUGAAGGUGUAGUCAAGCUCCCAGAUCUCUUCGAUCACGCUAUAGUACGGUUCUAUAGUGCCUUGGUUAUUAGAACUAGUCUCAGCAACCAGCGCACUAUACCGCUAUUUUGGUAACUGCUCUUACGAUCUUGAUCCUUGGUGUAGUACGUAUACCCGUUUAUUGCGUAUGACUGGUAAGUCACUACGCAGCCGUCGGGUAGCCGCGAGAACUUUUGAGCGGUCUUUUCUUCUUCAUUUUCCGCCACCCUGGCAUACCAAAAACUCUCGAGCCACAUGGCGAAUGUUACAUUGUGGGUCUUGUGUAUCCAAUCAGCACUCCUGUUAGGGUACCGGUUUUCAAGUUCUUCCAUAUGCAUGUCGAUGAAAGGCUGGACCUCGUACAUAUGUUGCAGCACCAUUGUAUGUUCUCUCAUAUAGUUAUCCUCUCUCCCCGAUGAAUAUACAUCCAGAACUUUCCGGCCAAGCCCACCUUGACCUUCUAGUUUGCCCUUAUGUCAUGGUUCGGGUACUCCUAUGGGUUUGCGAUCCGCCAACCAAUCAGUGGCGUACUCCACACACUCUUCUGCAUGGUAGCCUUACAUGAUGCUACCUUCCGGAUGCCCUCUGUUACGAACAUACCGCUUCAGCACCCCGUUGUAUCGUUCGGGCCCAUACAUGUUGUGCAGAAAGGAGGGCCCUAGUAGGAUUAUCUCAUCGGUGAUAUGGACCAUCAGAUGUACCAUGAUAUCGAAGAAUGUUGGAGGGAAGAACAUCUCACAUUCACACAAAAUUUGUAUCAUUGAAUCCUUCAGCUGGAGACAGCGUUCCACCGUGAUGGACUUUUGCCCGAUUGUGUCAAAGAAGUCACAAAACUUCAUGACCGUCUCUCUGACCCAUGGCUCCAUGGCACCUCUUGUUGUAACUGGGAAUAACAGCUUGAUAAUCACGUGGCAGACAUGAUACUUCAUACCAACAAGCUUGUGACUUUUCAUGUCAACGAGUCUCUUGAUGCUGUACGAGUAGUUGGAUGGAACUUUAAUGCUUUGGAGACACUGGCAUAUUCUGUGUAACUCGGUUUUGCUCAAGGUGUAACAUCAGGUUUACAUCGUGUCGUUACCGUGACUUCACCAUUGUGGUCUUCCGAUGACUCUUCCUCUACCGCACACAGCUUCUUCCUUAUGCCCAAGAACUCCAGGUCCUUCCGUGCCUUUGGCCCAUCUUUUGUCUUAUCUGCAUUGUUCAUUAGCAAGCCCAACAAGCUAUCACAAAUGUUCUUCUCGACGUGCAUGACAUCUAUGGUGUGACGGCUUUGUAAGAAUUUCCAGUAAGGCAGGUUCCAAAACACCGACCUCCUUUUCCACACAGGUCCAUCGCUAUCCUUCUCUUUCGCUUGCGGAUUUUCUUUCCCGGCAACAACUUCCAAGUUCCUAACAAUUUCAUAGAUUUCGUGCCCAGUCUUUUCCCUGGGCUUCGGGUGAGGUUCUGACCUCCCAUUGAAGUUUUUCUUGUCCUUCCUCCAUGGGUCAUCGGGUUGCAACCAUUUUCGGUGUCCCAUAUACACAAUCUUCUGUGAAAUUGACAGCCUAUGUGAGUUCGUUUCAUCCCCGCACUUUGUACAAGCUUUGUACCCAUGUGUGUGUUGGCAAGAUGAGUUCCUGUUCACAGGGUAGUCAUGCACACAUGUCAGCAGAGCUGCCCGAAGGAUGAACUCCUCCUUCUUGUGAGCGUCUCAAACCUUUUGGCCCGUACUCCAAAGUUCCGCAAGUUCAUCUUUCAGUAGCUCCAGGUACACGUUCAGAUCAGCUCCCGGUUGCUUAGGGCCUUGUAUGAGCAUGGAUAGGUGGAUCUACUUCGUCUUCAUGAUAAGCCACGGAGGAAGGUUGUAUAUGAACAGGAUCACCGGCCAUGUGCUGUGUUUGCUGCUCAUGUCUUCGAACGGAUUGAUUCCGUCCGUACUCAUCCCGAACCUGAUGUUCUUGGGCUCUGAGCCGAAGUUUGGAAACUCCUCGUCCAGGGUCCUCCAUUGAGCUGCAUCGGCGGGGUGUCUAAGUACACCAUCGUCGUUACGGUACACCCCAUGAGGAUCCACUACAACAAAACAUAGUUUAAGUAACACAGUCAUGUAACACAUGUUAAAAUGUGUUACAGAUAAAAAUUGUUGUAACACAUCUAGUGUGUUGCAAGCCAGUCAGUAACACAUGGUAAAUAAAAUCCAAAAAUAUGUUACAAAGUUAGUACGAUAGUAACAUAUACAUUUAUGUUGGUCCAAAUGUGUUACAAGUUGUAGGUUCAGUCACACAUCUUCAGUCACACAUAAUCAUGUGCGGUAGUGUUACAAGCUCAUCAAGAGGAAAAAGAGAGUGGACCGUUGUAAUAAAACAUGCAUGGUUAGACCUACCUGGCACGUAAACAAAAUAAAAAUUGUUUGAAGGUAAAAUAUGAACCAGUUUAAUAAAUAUAUCAAUUGCCUCAACAAUAGGUAUCGAACACUAGACCUCAGGUAUGAGGCAUCAAUGAGCAUACCACUGCGGCAUCUGUCUAAUGCUGAAUAAUUAGCAAGUUUUAUGUAUUUGACACCGAGGUUCGCCCUAUGUGAUUAACCUGAGAUUGUAAUGGGCCUGGUCCAGGCAAAAAAGGAGAUAGCAGACGUGAUUAGCCGGUCAGAUGCGGCCCAACGGGAAGAAAGGAAUUUAGAAGAAUUUCUGAAUAAAGAUGUCACAAGAAUUCAAAUAAGUAAAAAAGAAAUACCAUAUUAAAUAAAAAAUUUAUAGUCCCUACUGUCUUGUGUCAAAAAAAAAUCCAAAAUUUAUAGAACAAUUGGAAUAGGAAUGUAAAGUGUGGUUUGUUCAUUUGAUAUCAUCUUUAGGAUGGCCGAUUUAAAAUACCAAAUGAGCUGCCGUAGAAAGAGAGAUGUACAAUAUACAAUCCUCCUCAAACUAGCGUAUAAUAAUAUUAACAAUGCUGGCCGUUACAUUGUCCCAUCUGCAAUUAAUAAUUUUAUCCAAAAGGAAAAGAGGCUGGCAGCUUGCUUAACGCGUACAAGUCAACACCGCGUGGAGCAUGAAGCAAGCUAGGGGUGGCAUCAUCUCCAUGUUACUACUAUAAUCGAAACAACGCUAAAUCUAUGAACAAAGUAUAAAUUUUGACAGAAUAUCCUUUGUUUUCAGGGAUAUCCAAGACAGGCAAUUAAUAAUAUUUCUCAAUCAUAACCAAUAAGUCGAGUAAAGAUGCAUGCAGUUAAAAUAACCUCUGACAUCCUCAAAAUCGUACCAUAAUAAAUCAUGAGCGACGGAAGGCUCAGAUCGAGCAAUCGUGAUGUGAAACAGUUCUCAAUAUGGACUAUGUCUCUAAAAACAUAUUACGAGAUUAAGACAACUAAAUUAUAAAACGUGUGAUGUCCAUGUGAAUUUGUGCUACUCCCUCCCAUGCAUGCCUUUUUUAAGUACUUGAAAACCAAAUGAAACAUGAGGGUGAGUACAGAAAUACUCAGACAUUAAAAUAUGAACUUGCAAGAGCAUUGAUUAUUAGUCACCAUCACAUUUUCCCUGUAGAACAACAAAUUCACUGAAAAAAGAAUGAACACGCAUACAAUGAACAAUUGGAAUGAGAAGUCUGGAAUUAACCACAUGUAAAGGGGACAAAUCAAGUGUUCAGGCUACCUAGGGUUCAGCUGCUCAAGCGGAUGAAACUAGUAUUGAGUGAGCUAGCAAGGUAUUUAACAGAACAAGGUAACUAUUCUCCAGCAUCAAGGUAAUUGACCAAACACUAGCUUCUGCUUCUUUAUGUACACCAAUUCAGACUCCCUAAUAUAGCAGCUAUAAAACAGAAUAAAACGCCUAAAACAAAUCUACAAACAAGUAGCCCCAAUCGAUAGCUACCUUGCACCUGAACAAAAUAAGUGUACAGGAUCCCAUCCACCUGCAUAGCAUAGCCUGCCCAUAUGCAACUAGUCCAAAAACCAACUCCCUGGCACAUUCAGAUAUUUGUUGCGUCUGCUGCAGAGCACCUACUGCUAGCCAAUUUGAUAGCAACAACUACUAUUUAUGUAGCUUAGCUACUUGAUAAUGAUGAUAUUUUAGCCAAACAUACACAUACCUGAGUGACCAAGUCAUUAAAUUAUUGACUUCCACUAUUUUUCGUUGGUCGGAGCAUUGUUAUUAGCAUCCACUAAUGUUCCCUCGAUGUCUGUUCUAACCCAAUGUUGGUCAUUUGUUUUCUUUUUGAACAUCUCCCCAAGGUGGGAAACAUGGAAUGGCUCGGAUUCUAUGUCCGCUGCCGAUUCAAGGUCACCAGUGUCAUAUGAAUCUCUAGGUUUGGGUGGUUUCACUACCACAGACCAACCUGGGUUCAUUUCAUCUUCCACAUAGAACACUUGAUCUGCCUGGUUAGGGAAAAUAAAAGGCUCAUGCUCAAUCUUUUCUCCUUUGUGUAUCAGAUGUGAGAAGUUCACAAGUGUGUAGCCGUACUUGUCUUUUUUCAUUCCUUCUUUAGAAAAUACAUCAACCCAUUCACAUUCAAACAGCACCACUGAAAAUUGUCCGAAGUAGUUCAGCUCGAUGAUGUCAAUUACCCUCCCAUAGUACGUCACAUCAUGUAGAACUGGAGUUGCAUCUCCUACUGCAGCAUAACUAGAUGUUUUUGCAGUUAGCAUGACUCCACUGUUCUGUGUCACUUUAUCCAAGCGCUUGGGCCUAGAACGGAAGCCUCGAUAGAUGAAACCACGAUAUCUUUUUGCUGCAUAAACUGGCCCUGAGCUAGCCAUGUAAUAUCAUUUUCAACACCAUCGAUGCCUUUUUUCUUCUCCAAACUCUUUAUCUGAUGAAGUAGAUUGAUUAAUUAAUUAUAUAGUGGCAGAUGUAAAGCAUGCAAAAUUUCCCAAACCUUUCGGCCCGUACUCCAAAGUUCCGCAAGUUCACCUUUCAGUAGCUCCAAAUACACAUUCAGAUCAGCUCCCGGUUGCUUAGGGCCUUGUAUGAGCAUGGAUAGGUGGAUGUACAAAGCUUGUAUAUGAACAAGAUCACCGGCCAUGUGUUGUGUUUGCUGCUCAUGUUUCCGAACGGAUUGAUUCCGUCCGUACUCAUCCCGAACCUGAUGUUCCUGGGCUCUGCACCGAAGUCUGGAAACUCCUCGUCCAGGGUCCUCCAUUGAGCUGCAUCGGCGAGGUGUCUAAGUACACCAUCGUCGUUACGGUACACCCCACCAGGAUAUCAAUAUCCUUCUGAGUCGGGUCGUAGAAGAUGAACCACCUAGCCUCCUUCUUGUUUUGAAACCAACGCUCCAGCCGGCUACCACACGGGAGGUACCUAACCGUCUUCGCCGAUGGACCACAAGUCACUUCUUCCUCUGGGAGGCCCUCAGGAUUGGGGUCAUUCUUCCUGUAUCGGGAUGUUUUGCAUACUGGACAGCUGUGGAUGUCUUUGUAGUCAUCCUUGUAUAUGAUGCAGUCCAACGGACAAGCAUGGUAUCUGACAACCUCUAACCCGAGGGGACAUGCAAACUUCUUCGCUUCGUACGUGCUCUUAGGCAACAUGUUGCCCGCACGAAGAAAGGUAGAAUGGUAACUCAAAAUAUCCGUGAAUCCCGAGUCCACGAUGUUAUAUUUUGCCUUCAUUCGGAGAAAUUCGAGUGUUACUUCCAGCACACUUUUGUCCAGCCCUGCAUUUUCAUGCAAUGGCAUCUCUGCGUCCUCCCUCAGCUUCUAGAAUUUACGGGACACUAUCUCAUCGUCUGUGUCAUCUAACUGUUUCCGCAGGUGCACAUCAUCUAGCAUUUCGGCCACCCUGCCUUGCGGAACUUCUUGAUCUUUGCCACGGCAUGGUUCGUCGGGUGGAUCAUCAUGCUCCAUGUUCUUCAUUUCUGGGUCGCUUUCAACUUCAAUGGCAUCCUCGCCGUGACAACUCUAACGUGAAUAACCCAACACAAAACCGUGUAGGAGCAAGUGCAACUCCACAUCGCUUAGCAGAAGCAUCAUUGUGUUACGACAAUUGCUACAUGGACAACAUAUCAUGUCGUCCCCUUUUCUCAGCAUAUGUUCCGUGGCGACAUCAGUGAAGUUCUUCAAUUUUCUUAUCCAAUCUUCACAAUUUCUUGUCUCCUCUUGCAUCCAAGCAGGGCUCAUCGAGCUAAAACACGAUAAACAAACAUAAAUCAAGUUACAUAUAGUAUCACAUAAAAUUUCCGCAUAACCUUUGCUAUAAAAUUUACAAAUUUUACAAAAAAGUUGCGAAAUAAACACCCACCCACACCCACAUGUGAACACACACGGCACGAUGGCCCGUAUACAUGUACAAACAAAAAUUUACAAACACGGCACGAUGGCUGCGGAACAUGCACAUCCAACACAUAUUUUAUUGAGAGAGAGCUUAAUUAAUCACAGAGAGAGAGGGGGGCAGAGAGAGAGAGGGGACCAUAGAGACAGAGGGGAGGGGGCGCGCAGCAACCAGCAGUAGAAAGAGAGGGAGAAACGGAGCUAGGGGAAGAGUGGGGGAGCUCCCGAGCAAGGGGGCCGGCUGGGACAGCUCCUGGAGAGAGAUCGAGCUCCUCCCGACCGCAGGCGCCAUUUCAGGCAGAUCGAGGAAGAAGAGAAGAGAGGAAGGAGCUAGAGGAAAGGAGAGGGAGAGGAGGAAGAAGGAGAGGGAAAGGGAGCAACCUUCCGGCCGCCGGCGCCACGGAAUUUUGGCAGAGCUCCGCCGUCGCCUGUGUUGAGGAGCCGCAGCUGGUCCAGAGACACGCAAGCUGAGGAAGAUAAGGCCACAGUAACUUUGCUUUUAUAGAUAAUUUACUAGUGGCGGUUCAAAGAAUCUCUCCGCCACUGGUAACCGGGAUGGGAAACUCUGAGGAGCCCUAGUGGCGGUUAACUGAUGCGACCACUGGUACUAGGAGCACUAGUGGCGGUGACAGUCGUUUGAGUGCUCGCACCGCCACUAGUGUUCCAGUAUCAAUGGCGGUGGAAGCUAACCGCCACUGGUAUUCGUUUCAGAUUCUUCCAAUGACUUACCAGUGGCGGCUUGUUUUUUGGACCACUGUAGAUCGUGCGCCGGUGACCACUAAAAAGCUCCAGUGGCGGUGAACGACCACGGCCAAGGGUGCUAGAGCACCGGUGGCGGUGCUGGUCGUGCGAGUGCUUUCACCGCCACCGGUGCUCUACUAGCAGUGGCGGUAGUUGCUCACCGCAACUUGUGUUCGUUUUGGAUUCCUCCAACGACGUCCAGUGGCGGUGAAUUUUUUGGACCAACGGAACCACCACUGGAGUUCGUGCGCCAAUAACCCAUUCUGACGUAGUGUGGAGACGGUAGCACGGGCUUUCUACAGCCAGUUUGGAUGAUGCGCCGAGCGUAGGCCUUAGUAAUAUUAUGGCUGUGUGCAUCGAUUGAUGCAGAGGCCAGGGUAUUUCCUCCUUUUCGAAAAAAAAAUGAUGUGGGUUCGGUUAGCUGAUUAAGGAAAGCUGUUCUUUAAACAUAGAUGCGUUACACAUAUUCAGUUUCGUGAUGAUCAGCUUGUCGUUGUUAAAAACUGACGUGCUGAGACUAAUUCAUAAGUUACCGGAGAAUAACCGCAAUUUGGUGUCAUGCUUCAGCGGAUUGAUACGUAAGGUACUCUCCCCAUUUCAAAUUGUAAGUUACUCUAACCGCAAUUUGUUCUUUUUUUAGAUGCAUUUUUUCUUUUUUUUGAAACAUCUGGCUUUAUUGAUUAAAAAAAAGAGUACAAAGUAUCGACUAAACUGAAAUAAAAAAUACAACGAAGAUCCCUAAACUAUAAGUUACAUCAAAUCCAGCAUCAUGGGCCAAUCUGCAAGGCCGAUUUUUGGCACGCGUCCUCUGCCCCUCUCUCCUCUUGGGCCUUGACCCACUCAUUUCAGGCCUAGCUUUCCUCCGCCUGCCGCAGCCUUGGGCCGAAGCCCUUCGACAUGCUUCCCUAGCCCAUCUUGCGUCUUGCUUUCCUACCAAGUCAGCUAAUUUACGCUGUCCCGACGAGCCUCAGGCACGCUACCCACAACUCUACGUUGGACAACCGUCCUGACGAGUCAUGAGAAUUUUCUAUGUGCGUGCUAGAACCUCGUACGUGAGCAUUCUCCCCGUUGCUCACUGCUCUCGGCUGUUGGUUCUACAGAUUUAUCUGAUUUGCGGAACAAUACGCUUUAUGCGCGCACAACAAUAGUUGCUUCGCGCUAGGUUGAAAGCACGAAGCCUGGAAAUGCAGAUCUUAGUGUCCAUUCCGUGGAAACUAAUGACAUAUCUAACGCGUAUGAAUUUCUGGCACCUUCCAUUCCCACACGAGAAAAUGUCUACCAACUUGAGCCAUGUAACUGCAUAUGUCAAAUCUAUCUACACCGCUUGUGUGGUUUUCUACGGAUGGCCAAGGUACAUAAUCAGUGACGGACCCAAGAUAAAUUUGAAGGUGUGGUGGAAUUGACAAAAAAAAAUCAUGUCUAAUACAACUAUGCAAAAGCUCAGGAAUAGUAGACAUAUAUUAUUUUGUGUCCGACAAGUAUAAUAAAAUUCAAAAGUAAGAUCCUGGAGCUCAAAAUACCUCCAAAGGUGAAGCUAACAUGGAUGGCCGAUCACCAAUUUGUGAUCUAUAUUUUUUUGCAAGUAAUUUAUUGUCUAUAUUUAUUAAAAGAACAAAUGAAUGAUCGGUAAUGAUAUGCAAAACAUUGAAACCAAUAAAAAAAUAGAUUAAUUAGUAAUUAACUAGUUGUGUCAUACUCCUAUGAAUGAUAGAAUAAUUGAUGCUCAAUUUCGAUAAGCCUGCGAUCACGUGGGAGAAAUCUGCAUCAUAUAUGUUCGUAAGACUAACAACUUUGUCCAAAUCAAACUCAAAUGAGUCUAUGGGGUCAAGACAAGCACAUGUGUGGGAAAGUUCACUGCAUGAUCUGAAGGAAAUCCCAAUGCUCCAAACAUGGCCGAGACGAGGACUUGAGAAAGCUCACUGCUUUAUUGGAGCAACUGGAGGUCAUCAGCCUGAGCCUGAGCGAAGGCCGCUGCAAUCUCCAUCCUUGUCGCCGGUCGACUGAGCCUGACCGCCUCCGCAGAGACCGUCGGCGUGGCCGCCCGCGUGCUGCUGCUGUGCCGCCCUGACCCCUGACGCAGUGGCCAGAGCGCUCUCUAUCUUCCGUGCAGUGGAAGAAGGGAGAUUGGACGGGAGUCCAACAGACGGGAAUUGGGAACGCCCUGGCGGCGUGGCUGAUCGAUCAGUUUUCACGAGAAGAGGAGUUACGCACUUACGCGAGGCAGGGACGAGUCAGGGCUGAGGCCUGUAUAGCUAAUACAUGUAUUGGGCUUCUGGGCCAUAAAUUAGAUAUGGCGACGGCCGCACCAUGUCAUUUUAUAGGGGUUGCAACCAUGGUUAAAUAAUUUUUUUUCUAGAAUAUACCUCGACGGGUAUAUCAUGCAUUAAAGAAGAAGACCGCGACGCGGCAAGUUCAAGAUAAAUUUACAAUUACUCACGCAAGAUCCAUAUCACGUCCACUACACCAAAAUCGGAAAAGAGAAGGGAACCAUCAAACAGUCCCGCGCGUCGCCAUGCAUCCCCCUCCCGACCAAUCUCCCUAAUAAUGUGAGUAGCACUUGGCGUCACCCUAUCAAAGACCACCGCGUUCCUGUGCUUCCAAAUACACCAGCAAACAAGCCUAACGGCGGUAUGCAGGUUCCUCCGAUCCUUCCUAGCCACGACCUCCAGACCCGGCCACCAAGUCUCGAGCACACCAGGAACCCAAUCCUGCUUCUGCCAACGCCCAAGGAAAGCGAGCCACACCUGCCGGGCGACCACACCCCAAGAGUAAGUGAUUGAUGCUCUCCUCAUCCUGGUCACACAAAGAGCAGCGAGGAGGGUGAGGCAUCCCGCAUCGACGAACGCGGUCCGCCUUCCAACAACGCUCCUUCAGUACAAGCCAAAGAAAGAAUUUGCAUCUACUCGGAGCCCUAGAGCCCCACACCUCAGCAGCUCCUGGCAUGCAUGUACACCCUCCAAAAAGGGCCGCAUACGACGAUGCCGUUCAAUACGAGCCACUCCCUUCCCACAAUGAAGCACAUCCUCCUCGUCUGAUAGGACCCAACCUUCAAUGACGUCCCAAAUGAGCAAGAACUCGUCGAUGGCCAAGGAAGACAGAUCCGACUUGAUCCCCUUGACCCAAGCCCGGUCAACCAAGGCCUCCGCAACAAAGAUUUUCUGGCCCUGUCCAGCGACCCUCAUGAAAAGAUUUGGCGCUAGGUCACAUAGAGCCACACCAUCAAGCCACGCAUCUGUCCAGAAUCUCAUAGGCCGGCAGUUCCCUACAACAAUGGAGGUAGCCGCCUUACACAACUCGCGGGAGGCAGGGGAAUCUGAAUAUCAAACUCUGCCCACGGCCUUGAUGGAUCCGUUUGUCGAAGCCAGCUCCAUCUAGCCUGCAAAGCCACAUUGAGCACCCUGAGGUUCGGGAUACCCAAGCCCCCGAGCUCCCUUGGCGAGCAGACCGCUUGCCACGAGACAAGACAAUGACCACCGUGGACCUCCUUUCUCCCCUUCCACAAAAAUCCUUGGCAAAGUUUCUCAAUAGCUGAAACAGUCUUCACCGGGAGAUCAAGCGACAUCAUCGCAUAGAUCGGCAUGGCACAAAGUGUGUAUCGAACAAGCGUUAGCCGCCCACCCGAGGAGAACAUGGGUGCAGACCACAUUUGGAGCCCUUUCUCAAUCUUCUCCACGAUCGGCGCAAGCUGCCCAGCCGAAGGUUUCUGCAAGCCAAGCGGCAAACCUAGGUAGGUGCAUGGAAAGCGACUAACCACACAACCAAGAACGCGGUGGACUAGCCCAAUCUGCUCCGCUGUGCAUCGGAUAGGGUGAGCCGAAGUCUUGACGAAAUUAAACCUCAACCCUAAAGCCAUCGCGAAAUCCUCCAACAAGGCCAUACAAGCCCACAACUCCCCUUCGGCCGGUUGCAAGACCACCACGGCGUCAUCCGUGAAGAAGGAUGACUUUUGCGAUAGGCCACGCGAGGCCAAACGACCAAACAACCCAACCUCUCCGCCUUCUGAAGGAGCAAGUUGAGAACAUCCAUAGCAAGGAUAAAAAGCAUGGGGGAUAGCGGGUCGCCCUGCCUAAGUCCACGUUGGUUCGAGAUAGUCUCCCCCGGGAUGCCAUUAACAAGAAUCCGCGUGGAGGCGGAACCCAACAGCGCUCCAAUCCAUCCCAACCACUUAUCACCAAAACCAAGCCACCGCGGCGAGUCGAAGAGGAACGACCAGUGCAGAGAGUCAAAGGCCUUGGCAAUAUCCAACUUGAGUAAGACUGCCGGUCGUCUCAGACUGAACAACCUCCUUGCCGUGCCCUGAACGAGCAUGAAAUUAUCGUGAAGACAACGGCCCCUGAUGAAGGCCCCCUGGUGCAGGCGCACUAACCUUGGCAACUCCGGGCCCAAACGGUUAGCCAAAGCCUUCGAGAACAACCGGCCCACCGCGUGAAUCAAGCUUAUGGGCCUAAAAUCCCCAAUAGAAGCCGCUCCCUGCCUUUUUGGCAGAAGGCAAAUGUACGCCUGAUUCACGGCCUCCAAACCACGACAAUCCAACCGAGGAAACACAUGGAAGCAAUCCACGAUGUCAUGUUUGAUGACAUUCCAGCAAGAUGUGAAAAAACGUCCCGUGAAGCCGUCAGGGCCGGGACAUUUAUCAGGCGGCAACUCCCGGAUCACAGACCAAAUCUCUUCCUUAGAGAAAUCCGCCUCCAGGCCCAAAGGGCCAGGCCUCUCACCACCCAGGAAGUUCAGGUUAAGACCAUAAUUCCUAUCCACCCCUGAACCCAGCAACUCCGUAAAGAACAAAUCGGCCACGCCGGCCAUCUCAUCAUGCCCAGACGUCCGCACACCAUCCACCUCUCAAAUGAAAAAAAUCUAGUGUUGGCAUCACCCUCCUUCAACCACAACAAGCGAGAUCUCUGCCGAGCGAUCGUCCUCUCAAACGAGGAAAGCCCCAACAGCUUGUGCUUCAACAUCGAGCGUAAACGACGCUCCUCGGCCGAAAGUCGACGCCCCUCCUUGGCACAUCCAAGCGAAGAAUCACCUCCGUGGCGACCAGAAUCUUCAGCUUUACGCUACCAAUGAACUUGUCGCUCCAGCUCUUGAGGUGUCGAGCGGUAUAGUGCAAACGAGCCACCACCCGCAGGAAGGGGUUGACAACCCAGUUUGAAGUCCCCAAACCACGCCGCCUCAACCACCUGAAAGAACCCCAGCGCAAUCGGCCAGAAAGCCUCAAAGUGAAAACGCCUACCAAUCCGAAGAUCAGCCGCCAAAUCCAACAAAAGAGGGCAGUGAUCAGAAACCGUGGUCCAUAGUGGAGAAGACACGGUCAAUCCUCUCAAGCGUAGGGUCGGAUCUCUCAUUGGACCAAGUGAAACGCCGACCCGCAAGGUAUAACUCCUUCAACUCCAAAUCCGCAAGCAAUCUCCGAAACCGGCACAUCAUACGACGGUGCACCCGGGAAUUGCUUUUAUCCUCCGAAUUAACGAUAAGGUUAAAAUCGCCGGCCACCACCCACGGUCCAGCAUGCAAGUCACGAACGUCUCUCCACUCCAGGAGGAAGUUCGGUUUAUCCACCUCUCUAUGCGGCCCAUAUACACCCGUCAACCACCAGCAACCGUCGGGAGAGUUAAUCUGAGCAGUCAGGGUAUGGUCAGUGUAUUGGGGAUUGGACAGCACCACAUCACUCGCCUUCCACACGAGGAUAAUUCGCCCAUGAGUACCCACUGCCGGCAAGAAAAAGAAAUUAUUAGCGAAGGCCUGCCCAAACAUUGAGCGACUAGAUCGGCCGUGACCACCUGAAAUUUAGAUUCCUGCAAACAAACCACAGAGGCCCCCGAAUUGACCACGACUUGAAAAACAGCAGUACGCUUGGCCAAAGAGUUAAGCCCACACGUAUUCCACACCAGGAUUUUUGGGUUAGACGAGGACAUAAGCACAAUCCACACAAGACCAUCCACCAAAAAAACCAUCAAUACAUGGCCUAGGUGACCACCGUCAUCGCCGUCUCCUCAGCCAAAAUGUCAGGCGAGAUCUCAGGCUCCCACCCUAACAAAGACAAAAUGGCCCCAAUAUGCUCCAAAGACAAGGGACGAUCAAAAAGCUUUAUGUAAGCCGACGACGAAUCCUCGGUGAUCUACUCCCCCUCAAGAGCAAGUCCCAGCCUGGAGAUAAGCACCUUCUGCUGCCUCUUGACGGAGGAACCUCUAGCGCGCCGUGAUGCCACCCGAAUGCUCCGACGCAGGGGCGAGCCGGACACGCCUUGGCCUCCGGUAGCUAGUGCCGCCGAGACGCCGGGGAGCGAGGCUGCGGAAGAGGAAGGAGAGCCACGCUUGGCUGCCGACAAACACGACGAAAAUCCACCAGCCUAGUCUCCACAUCAACCGAGUUCCGCUCCACCAAAGUAGCCAGGGUUGACAUCGGCGUGUAAGGCUCCGCCCACGCCAAGAGAGCAUAAGCCAGCGUAGGCACACUCACACAGAAGGUGUCCAUCAUUGGCUGAGCAAUAGCCGGCUCAUCCACACCCAAGGAGGGAAACAAGAGAGGGGAGCCCACAUCCACCGAAGAGCAGACCGAAAAAGCCUUCUCCGAGAGCAACGAGAUGCCUUCAGCAACAUCCAGGACAGGAAGUGGAAUCACCUGCCGCACGGCCACGUUCCUCAAUGAGUAGGUGAACAGCGGUCUGAUGCCAGCCUCAAGCCUCAUGGGAUCAAACCAACUGUCAGAGACCUCCACCUGGGGCAGGGAGGAGCAAACAACAGCCUCAUCCACUGCAGCGCGCAAGGCCGAGGGCCAAGGUGCCACCUGGACGACCGGAGGCAGCCCCGCACAGCGCCAGAAUCCGGCCUGCCCACCGCGCGCUGUGCCGUCACCCCCAAACUCCCCAUCCACCACACAACGCUGACAUGCAAAGGAGCGGGUACGCAGCUGCCGAGGAGAUGGACCACCACCCGGAUCCUUGUCAGGGUCAUUGCUGUGAAGGGGAACGUAGGCAGAAAUUUAAAAUUUCCUACGAACGAACCAACCAAGAUCACUAUGCGGAUGCGAUAGAUAGAUCACGUACCAACAACUGUAGCGGAAGUAGAUUGUCGUUGAAGCCUGUAGCAGAUUCCCGCAGCUAGGUUAUACCUCCCAGCAGCGAGAAUAUUCCUCGCACGAUCUGCUGCGCCUGAAAGCUCGAAGUAGACGAACAACGAUCCGCCCGCAAGAUCAAAGUGGACGAUCUCUCCACACGUAUCCACACGUCCCGAAGGAAUAGUUCAGGAGCACUUCGACGUCCAGUACGAAGAACCGCCGGAAGAAACUAGAUCGGAAAGUAGACGAUCUACUAAUUAGACGUCUAAAUCUAAACUGUAGAGGAGAUAGCUCGGACUUGUCGGGCAAAGGACAACUAGCGAGAGUGCUCCUAUAGCCAGCCACCCCUCCCCUCCUUAUAUAGGAGGGUGGCCGGCCAAAGGGGGAAAGGUGUCCUCCUCCAAAAGGAGUAGGACUCCUACCUCUAAUAGGAAUAGAUAUGGACUCCUAAUAGGAGUCUUAUAUCCCCUUCUCCAAACCAAGAUGGCCGGCCCCCAUGGUCAACCUUUGACCACGUGGUCAACCUUUGACCAGGGUUUGACCCACCUUUGACUUUUGACCUUUUGCCAUUUGACCUUCCGGAAUUUCCAUCGGAUCCUUCCAGAGGCUUCUAAAACCUUCCGGAACUACUCGUGAUUACUCCGAACAUUUCUGUAACUCCUAAAUCACAUUUAGGACCUACAGAAAAUAUGUCUCGUCAUUCUGAACAACUUCGGUAUUCAACUCUCGACCAAAUUCCAAACUCUAGACCUUCAAAUAACCAUUCGUCGUUUAGCGUGCGACCGCGUAGGUUCGGAAAUGUGUAGCUAUGACCCAGUCAAUAAUUAUUUAGAGAGCCUGGACACUCUCAAUAAUUACUACACAUCCACGAAGACUUUCGAGCGAACCAUAUGUUACUAAAAACCAUUUCCCUUUGCUUCGCGAUACGUUUACAAAACCCUGGGUGAGUCUUCCGGUACGCCCGUGAACCAACCCUUGUUCCACUUGUACCUAGCUAUCCCCGUUACCGGUUUUGUACUUUUAACUCGUUCCGUACUCCAAUAUCUCAAUGAUCAUAUCAUUCUUGUGUCUGGCCAGACGGUGAUAGAUAUCGUCGUACCGAGUGGGCCCUAAGUGUAUCUCUCCACCGAUAGAGGAGCAAAUCCCAAUCUUGAACUAUUGAGCGAAUUCAUACUUUCCGGAGUACCCAGAAAUCACCGUCAUGAUAACCCUAUAGUCGGAGCACGGUCUCCCGGCACCGGGGAUGCUGAGCACCCCCUUUUUGGUUCGGUGGAAGGCGAGGUGAUCGCUCCGGCGAUCGCCGGCAUGGCGAUAGACACGAAGUGUAGACACAAGAGUUUACCCAGGUUCGGGCCACCCGGAGGUGUAAUACCCUACGUCUUUCUUUGAGUUCUAUUCACAAGUUUGAGUGCGUACAGGUCACCCUGGGAGUUCUUGGGCUAGCUACUUAGGUGAACGCUGUGCUAUGUUCUAAUCACUUGGAUUGGAACCGAGCUGAACUCAACCCUUUGACCGGUGGCAUUGGUCCUCCUUUUAUAAACAAGGGGAUACCACAGAUGCCUAUGCAUGCAGGGUGACAUGUUUCCUAGAAGCGUGUCACGGCCGCAUGGAAUACAUUUUUACUCAUCCAUGCUGGACGCCAUGCAGCGCCCAGUCCACUGUACACGGUAGAAAAGAAAUGGUUCGUAGGGUAGUCGCCCUAGCCUUGCUGAGCAAGACUAGGCCUGCCGAUAAGACUCAUGUCGGUGCAUUAAAUGCACUGCGCCCGCCGUCUUGUCCUGUCUUCACUGUUCUGCGGGUCCCGCCUGCAUGCCCGAGCGCGGGUUGCUGGCGUGCACCGUCCCGGCUAGCGCAUCUGCUAGUUGCUGGGAGGCAUUCCUUCGGCUUCUCGGGACCAGGGUUCCCGGGAGCACCUUGUACCCAGCCCUCGGCUUUAACUUUGCCAAAGGCCGUCCCCUCGAGGCAGGCUUCCCGUAUUCACCGCUUCCCGAGUAGCCUUCCUGACGGGGCUUCGUCACUGGCGACCCACGCGGCCCGUAUCAGUGGGACCCCGCAGGCCACUGGUACGACAGUAGCCCCCGGGCGUGCGCCGGUAGCCUUGAAGCUCCCUGCAAGUGCUAUCCUCGGUCAGUUGCCGGGCUACGCCCUAUCCGACGCGUGGGUCCGAAAGGGAAAAACCCUUGGCACCCGGCCUCGCAUGCCACAUUUAUAGUUCCACUUCUGCGAGCGAAACGGUCGGGCGCACGAUUUCGUGCCUUAUCUCCCUUAAUCACCAGAGAGUUAAGGCCACGUCGCGCACCCCCCCUCUUAAUCUCUGAUUCUUUAGGGCUCUUUAUUGCCAAUCGUGGGGGUGUCCGUUGCAGUCCGCCAGCCCCCGAUAAAUACCCAAGGCCGGCGGCGGGGCACCCCCCAUUGUCUCUCGCUCCUGCCAUCACCUCCUCCCAAGCUCCCCGCUUCCCAACUCCAACCGAACCAUCUCUCCACCUCCGCCGAUGUCUGCCAAGGGUCAGAACCGUCCCAAGGGGAGCACCAGCAAAGGGGAUAAGGCCGGCAAGAAGGAGCUGUCGGAUAGGGUCCGGAAGGAGGAGGAAAUGCGGGCUAAAUUCGCCUUCUUCCCCCCCGGGUACAAUGGCGAGGGGGUCGACAAGCUGGACUUGGCGCUGGCCACCAAGCACAAUGAGCACGGGCCGACGCGGGUCCUUCCCAUCGGUGAGGAGCACGACGGGCAGUACUUCCAGAUCUUCGGGAGGUUCGUCCUUGCCGGAUUCGUGCCGCCGCACUCUUACUUCCUUUCGGCCAUCAUGGAGACCUACGGGCUCAUCAUGGCGCAGCUUCACCCCGCGUGGUUCUUCACAUUGGCUUGUUUCCAACACCUCUGUGAAGCGUUCGUGGGGGUGAUGCUGUCGGUGGCGCUAUUCCGCCACUACUACUACCCGAGGGUGGAGAAGAAGGCUCCCCUGUCCUCGGGGGUAGUGUUCUGAUUCCGCGACAGGAUCAAAUCGGAAUUCAACGAGCCGGGGAAGAAAAAGAUCGAGCACGAAUGGCGCCGUGACUGGUGCUGGGUGUGCACUGACGAGCUCCAGGGGUUCCAUGAGGAGCCCCUCGGGCCUCCGAAGGGCUCUGACGACUGGACACUCCGUGACCAGAAGUACGAGGAGCUGGCCCCAAUCUGUGGGAAGAUCAAGGCGCUCCGUGAGGCUGGGCUCACGGAUAGGGAUGUCGCGCGCCACUUCAUCGGGAGGCUCAUGGCUCCCCUGCAGCGGCGCUCGCAUCCGGCGUGGAUGUACACUGGGGCCGACGACCGGACCUGGCUGCAGCGCACGGACCUCUUCCCGGAGGAAGUGCAGUUCUGGGUGAAGGGUAUCACUGGCGAGGACGAACCUUACCGGCUGCCCCCGCUUCACGCCGGGAUCCUGAACCCGGGAGCCCGUGAUCUCCCACUCUGCGACGAGUGGGGGAUCGUGGAGGACCCCUCGAUGCAACCCUCCCCCCCGCAGCCCAGGCCCCAGAAGCGCAAGGAGCCGGUUGCGGACUUAGGGAAAGGGGGCCAAGGCCAGGCCUCCGCCCGGGCAGACGGCUCGGACUCCGACGACUCCUCGUUGGGUGUCGGAGGAAACCUCAGCAAAGACGACGGCGACGACGACAUUCCCCCGGCAGCCGAAAAAGUCGUGCCAGAGGAGGACGACGAGGAAGAUGACGUCCCCCUGGUGAGGCGGUCCGCGGCGAUAUGGGCGGGCAGGCGGGAGGCUAGCCCGCAGCUCCCGGAGCCUCACGGCGACGCGGGGGCUGGUGCCUCCGGCGGCAGGGGCGCGGCUGUAGCAGGCGCCCCGCCCACCCGGGGACUCCGACAGCUCCCCCGCGCAAAGCGGCCCUCCGACGAGGAGCAUCCUGGCGGACAGGGUGCUCAAGCUCAUGCCGGCGGGGUAAGUCCAAUGUUGUCCAGAACAGCUUUGAUUCCACGAAAUUAUUUUGUGCCUGACUAAUCUAUUUUUGUGUUUUCCAGUUCGUCGAGGAAGAGGGGGCAGACCAGCGCAUCGCUGGUAGCCCCAACCAAGAAGCCUCGCCCGGCAUCGGGCGGCGGCAACCAAGACGCUGCUGAUGCAGCGGCAGCGACCGCUGGGGACCCAAGGAUCCCCGAUUCUAGCUCGCAGGGUACCGGCCCGGCGGCAGGCACGUGACAGUUCGAACACUUCCUUUACUUAUUCGCGCACCCCACGCCUGACGCAGGUGGCGUUCGUGCAGCCACCGGAGGUGUUCCGGCUGCGCCCGCACCUACAGAGGUGCGGGUGAUCGACCUCACUGGCGAGGUCGACGACGAAGCUCCGGCGGAGGUUGCCUCCGUCGGAGCUCUUCAGCAAUCGGUCACGGCGCCUGCCGGGGCCGUGACUGCUGCCACAGAUGACACCACGCAAGGUGCGCCAUCUGAGGCGGGAGACACGGAGCAGCCUUCGCUAGCCGGGGCGGGCGGCGGUGCCCUGGAGAAGCCCUCGAGGUCCCAGCUCGCCCCUUCGGACGAGCAAGAAGCAGCUGGGCUCGGCCAGGCCGGGGGCACGCCAUCAAAUCCCGACACGCCCUCAGGUCGCAGACGGUCGCGGCGGGGUCCUCCUCCUCCGCAGGAGCCACCUUACAAUACAUACAAGCAAUCAAAUAAAAAUCAAACGUAUAGCAAAUGUAUAGCAAAAUAACAAUAACAUGUAUAGCAAACGUAUAGCAAAAUAACAAUCAAACGUAUAGCAAAUCUUUUGGCACAGUUUAUCUACAGUACUCCGAACAAUCUAACAAUCAAACGUAUAGCAAAAUAAACAACCAUACAAUACAUACAAGCAAUCAAAUAAAAAUAUGCCAUGAUGCCAUGCACAUGAUGCAAUCCUAAAGUUGGUUUCUGUCACAAAUAAUUUAUUUAGUGAUUUAAAUCUAUGUGAUGAAUUGUUAGGAUCAUGUUCAUGGUGUGGAGAAAUAAAUCAUUAAAUAAAGCAAGUUUAAUCCAUUUUAAGUUAGAUUAUUCUAAAUCUGGUGAUACAUUCAUUUUUAUACAUAAAUUUUUUUUCUUCCAGUUCCACCGGGUAGAGGGUGCCUCUAAGAAAUUUUAGGAGUGGAUAAAUCAUCCAAAAUAAUUUUAAGCAAAUAUUUUAGUGAAUACGUUCAUAGUUAAGCAUUAUGUCACUUGGUCCUGUUUCAGUUGUCCAGAACUGAAAACAAACUGUGCCAAAAGAUUCUACAUGCCAUGAGGUUUCCAAAAAGGUGUAGUUCGUCAAAUUUGGCUCAACGGUCAAAAGUUAUGAGUGUUUGAAGUUCCAGAGGUUUUUCUGCAAUUUUACCAUUUAAUUCAUCUGGAAACCAUUUUAACUUUUUAUUACAUGACACGUGUCGUCCUCUGAUUCGCCUGUACCGGUUCGGGGUCUAAUUAAAAGAUGGCCGUCCGAUCUCACUUAAAACAAGAUGGACGGCUGUGAUCAAAAGAUACCCUUCGUUUAAAUCAAUCUAAUCUGAUCCUACGGUCCAGGGCGACCAUGCUCACCUUCGAUGAGCCAAGGGUUCUGGCGGCGAGCUCCGGCUGCGGCGGCCUCACGGGCGGGUGGCGCGCGGGAGCUCCGGUGGUCCUCGGACUCGGGGGAGGUCGGGCGAGGGGCGGCGCGGGGCGGCGAAGUUGGUGACGCGGUCGGGGCGACGAGACGGAGCCGGGAACGACGCCUAGGACGACGACGAGAGGCGGUGGCACCAGGGGAACUCCGGCGGGCUCGAGCGGAGGGCGUCCGGGCGCUACGAGGCACCAAAAACGAAACCGUUCACGUCAAAACGAGCGCAAGCUCGAGGGGAGAAGGAAAUUGACGGGUUCCGGGUCUUUUUCUCACCGGUGUGGCGAACGGCGAGCUCGAGACCGGCGGCGGCGGCAACUCCGGCGAGGAAUUACGGCGGCGUGGCCGCGAGUGGAGGCACGGGGUGCGGGGGAAAAAGGAGAGGGGAGGGCCCUUAAUAUAGUGGCGCGAGGGGGACCUUAAAGACGGGCUCUAAAUCGCGUCUUGAAGGCGAGGCAUAAUGGCGGCGCGCUGUGGAUUCGCGGUCGGAGCUUGAAGACUGACAGGUGGGCCCCACCUGUCAGUGGCAGUUGCGCUCGCAAGCGGCGGCGGUGGGGCUGGCACGGGCGCGAGCGUGGGAGAGCGCGACCGGGCCGGUCCGGUUUCCUUUUUUUUUCUUUUUCUUUUCUCAUUUUCUUUUUCUGUUUUUCCUUUAUAUCUUUUGAUUUUGAACUCCAAACGACCUCAAAUAAAUUCUAGAAAAUUUGUAAAAUCAUAUCCCUUAAUGCCAUAGCAUGUGGGCUUUAUUUCCUGCAAAAAAAAUUAUUAAAAAUAGUUUCUCUUAUAUAAUUGCCUCUGGUGCAAUAUUACUUAAAACAAAACAGUUUUUCAACUCCAAAUUAAAUUCCAAAAAUUAUGGGGCUACAAGGCACCAAAGAGGAAUUACGGCGGCGUGGCCGCGAGUGGAGUGAGGGGGUGCGGGAGAAAAGGGAGAGGGGAGGGCCCUUUAUAUAGUGGCGUGACGGGGAUCUUAAAGACGGGCUCUAAAUCGCAUCUUGAAGGCGAGGCAUAAUGGCGGCGCGCGCUGGAUUCACGGACGGAGCUUGAAGAUGACUAGCAGGUGGGCCCCACCUGUGAGGGGCCGUUGCGCUCGCGGGCGGCGGCGGCGGGGCUGGCGCGUGCGCGAGCGCGGGCGAGCGCGACUGGGCCGGUUCGGCCCAUUUGGCCGUGCCGGUCCGAUUUGCUUUUUUUCUAUUCUUUUUCUUUUCUCCUUUUUUUCUGUUUUUCCUUUAUAUCUUUUGAUUUUGAUUAAAAAUAGUUUUUCAUAUGUAAUUGCCUCUGGUGCAAUAUUACUUAAAACAAAAUAGUUUUUCAACUCCAAAAUAAAUUCCAAAAAUUAUGGGGUAGCUUAUCUUAUUGCAUUAAACCCCUUUCUAUUGUUUUGAACCCCAUGGGUUGAUAAAUUCCAAAGAGAUGCAAGGUAAAAGUUUAAAAGGUAAAAGGUUUAAUAAAAGGUUGUAAAUUUUAAAUCUUUGGUUUUAAGGGUACUCAAAAUGCAUAAUUGGUAGAAUUGGUGAUGAGUGCAAAUGCAUGAUGCCCAGUUUGGGAGAAUUGGGAUGUUACACCGUCCCCUCGAGGCAGGCUUCCCGGAUUCACCGCUUCCUGGGUAGCCUUAAAGAAGAUAUCCGCAGUUUCCUACGACUCGCUGGAUACUACCGGAGGUUCAUUGAGAAUUUCUCCAAGAUUGCAAAACCCAUGACCGAGCUCUUAAAGAAGGACAAGAAAUUCGACUGGACAGAGAAAUGUGAAGAGUGUUUCCAGGAAUUGAAGAAGAGAUUAGUGUCCGCACCCAUUCUUGUUUUACACAAUCUGCAAGAAAAUUUCCAAGUUUAUUGUGACGCUUCACGUCAACGUUUGGGAGGAGUUUUGAUGCAAAGAGGAAGAGUUGUAGCGUACGCUCGCGACAACUAAAGAACCAUGAGGGAACUACCCCACACAUGACUUGGGAUUGGCAUCGGUAGUGCACGCCUUGAAGACCUGGAGACACUACCUGAUGGGGAAACAUUGUGAAUUCUUCACGGACUACAAGAGCCUGAAAUACAUAUUCACUCAGAAGGAGUUGAACCUGAGGCAGAGAAUAUGGUUAGAGUUGACUAAGGAUUAUAAUCUGAUUUUGCAAUAUCAUCCGGGAAAGGCUAACGUAGUAGUCGAUGCUUUGAGCCGCAAGGCCUAUGUAAAUGGACUCACAGCGGGGGAACUACCACCGGAUUUGUGUGAACGGUUCAAGGAGCUUAGAUUAGAAAUUGUACCAGAAGGAUUUCUUGCCAACAUGGAAGUACAACCCACGUUGGUGGACAGAAUCAGAGAACCUCAGAAAGGCGACUCAGAGAUUGAUGAAAUAAAAGAGAACAUGAUUGCCGGAAAGGCAAAAGGUUUUCAUGAGGAUGACCAGGGAAUUAUAGGGUUUGAGAAACGUAUAUGUGUACCCCAAGAUCCGGAGAUCAGAAAGUUGAUUUUUGAAGAAGCUCAUGACUCGCCAUACUCGAUCCAUCCGGGGAACAAAAAGAUGUACAUGGAUUUGAAGGAAAAAUUCUGGUGGUCUGGAUUAAAGCAUGACAUCGCUGAAUAUAUCGCUUCUUGCGAUGUAGGCAACAAAGUUAAAAGCUGAGCACCAGAAGCCAGUUGGACUAUUGCAACCAUUGCCUAUACCAGACUAGAAAUGGGACAAGAUAGGCAUGGACUUCAUCACCGGUUUACCGAGAACCAGGUUACGACUCGAUAUGGGUAGUGGUUGACCGUUUGACCAAAGUUGCCCAUUUCAUACCGGUAAAGACCACUUAUACAAGUGCUCAGUUAGCAAAGCGUUAUAUGUCAAGAAUUGUGUGUUUGCACGGAGUGCCCAAGGAGAUAGUUUCAGACAGAGGUACCCAAUUUACCUCAAGUUUUUGGGGGCAAUUACAUGAGUCUCUGGGCACGAGGCUAGAACUCAGCACGGCGUUUCAUCCGCAGACGGAUGGACGGACUGAAAGAGUAAAUCAGAUCCUUGAGGAUAUGUUGAGUGGAUUAUGGUUCUAGUUGGGACGACAACCAACCUUAUGCAGAAUUCUCAUACAACAACAGUUUCCAAGCCAGCAUUGAAAUGUCACCGUUUGAAGCACUAUACGGCAAGAAAUGCAGAACACCAUUGCUAUGGGAUGGAGUGGGGGACCACAGCUUGUUCGGUCCUGACCUAAUAAAGGAUGCCGAGGAAAAGGUUAGACUAAUUCGGGACAGACUAAAGGUAGCUCAGCCGAGGCAGAAGAGUUAUGCAGAUUCCAAAUGUAGGGAAGUUACCUACGAGGCUGAGGGUAGAGCGUAUCUCAUAGUCUCACCGAUACGUGGAGUUAAGAGAUUUGGAAUAAAAGGGAAACUAGCACCCCGUUUCAUUGGACCUUUCAAGAUCUUGUCCCGCCAAGGAGAAGUAGCCAACAGGUUGGAGUUGCCGGAAGGUUUGGAAAGCGUGCACAACGUAUUCCAUGUUUCGCAACUAAAGAAAUGCCACCCUGAGAUGGCCGACACACCGUUGAGGGGAUACGAUUCCGUUGGAAGAAGUCCAGAUUGAGAGUGACCUCACCUAUGAGGAGAAACUGAUCAGAAUUCUGGAUACAGCAGAGAGACACACCCGUUCCAAGACUAUCAAAUUCUGCAAGGUUCAGUGGGAUCACCACAACGAAGAGGAAGCUACCUGGGAACGUGAUGAAGAUCUCCGAGAAGACCACCCGCACCUCUUUGCUAACCAACCAGAAUCUCGAGGACGAGAUUCAUCUUAAGGGGCUUAGGUCAGUAACAUCUCAAUUUUUACAAACCAUUCAUCAUGCAUUUGCAUUCAUAAGCAUCAUGCCACCUAUGCAUUUUUGGCCAUUUUCAAAACUUUGUUUUGAAUUUUUGAAUCCCUUUCCAAAAGCCUUCCUUAUUUUUAAAUCUGAUUUUCACUUUCCUUUGGCAAACUGGAUUUUUAACCCAAAAGGAUUUUGAUUAUAAAAAGUGGUUUAUUGCAUAAAUGAGCUACCCCAUAAUUUUUGGUAUCUAAAUUGGAGUUGUAAAACUAUUUUAUUUUAAUUGUUAUAAAGCCCUAAAGGCAUUUAUACAAGAAAAAUUAUUUUUAAAUAUUUUUGUUUGGAGUAAAUCUUGAAAAAAAUAAAAAAAUAAAAAGAACAAAAAACAAGAAGAACGGGCCGGCCUGGCCCAACUUACCUCCCCCCACGCACCUGAGCCAGGCCGCAGCCUCGCCCGACCCCGCGCGCGCGCCCGAGGCUCUCAGAUCCUUCUUUCCUGAAGGAAAGCCCCCGCGAAUCUCGCCCGCGCGUCCCGGCCGCUGAUCCCGCGCGCCGUCUCCUCCGUGCUCCCCGAAGCUUUCCAUCCGUGUCAUUAUAAAGGCCGAACUCCCCUCUGCAUGUCCCCUCGAUUCCACGUGCCCACGCUGCCCAAAUUCCUCGCCGGAGUUGGCCACGGCUGCUGCCCGUUUUUAGUCACCGUCGCCGACGAGGUACGACAUCGACCAAUUGAAUGGCAGGUUUUCAAUCUCCGCCUCCACGCGGAUCUUUUGACGUGCUUCUUGCUUUGUUUCGUGCACCGAAGGUGCCGACGCCUUCCACCCGAAGCCCGCCGCUGCCUCCUCUGUUCCGUCGUCCUAGGCUCCAUCUCCGGUGACCCCGAGGUGAACCGCGACCACCGGAAGGACUGUCUCACUGCGCCUCGUCCUCUCCGCCGUUCCCCGAGCCUGAGAACACGCCGGAUCUUCGCGCCGUCGCCUUCCCGAGCCCGCCGCCUCUCGCCGGAACCCUAGCACCGCCGCUGGUAAGCCCGGUUAAACCUCAGCCGUCCGGUCUAUUUUCAACGGCUUAGAUUAAAUCACUUAUAUGAACCGGUACAUUGUUAGGUCUAUUAUAAUUACCAGGUGAACUUGCCAAUACAUUCAAUGUAUUGACCACGUAGUGGCUGCAAUGAAAUAAUGCAGGUGGAUCAGACGACGAGUGAGGUUCGUCAUUUUUUUAGGGUUACGAGCUUACAUUCCAACAUGCUCUCACUGUGGUGUUGAUGUGGCUGUCGUUCUUCCAUUUGCUUUCCGCUGCCAGACUUUAAAGUUAUUUGUUUUAAGCUAACCCGAGGGGUUAUGCAAGUUGUAAGUACUAUGAGUUCUGGAUAUGACAAUGUAAUAAAUUUACUUGACCUUUGUAUCUGGUAUUACAUCAUGAAACUGUGUGUGCUAGUGAGUCGAUCCAGGGACUAGCACUGUAAGCACAGAGAUCGAACCCUACCCAGGGGCGGUCGCUUCAGGAGCAUAAGGUACGAUGUGUCAUGUCAUCGUUUCAGCAUGCAUGGUAUCACCUUUAUGCACCAUCCACUGUGGACUAACAGUUCGUACACAACCCUCUCUACCUUGCACCCAAGAUUUCACCAGCUACCGUGGAACCCAAAGUAUCUGAAAUUGCAACUCCGGACACGACCACCAGCCAGAGUGGAAGGCCCUUGGAGCGUUUGUAGCAAAAUUCCACGUUCUGCCAGAUUAUACGAGUAAUGCAAGGAGCAGGGGAUAAUAUGAUAUUCAGAUAAUUACAGAUCCAAUCUACAAUACCCACACAACACUUGUGCAACGCCCGCAUAUCAUAUAUGCUCUAGAUCAAAUCACAUCUACGCAAAGAUUGCUCUCAUUCCACUGAAGGGAACGUAGGCAAAAUUUUAAAAUUUCCUACGAAUGAACCAACCAAGAUCACUAUGCGGAUACGAUACAUAGAUAACCUACCAACAACCAUAGCGGAAGUAGAUUGUCGUUGAAGCCUAUAGCAGAUUCCCGCAGCUAAGUUAUACCUCCCAGCAGCGAGACUAUUCCUCGCACGAUCUGCUGUGCCUGAAAGUUUGAAGUAGUAGAACAGCGAUCCGCCCGCAAUAUUGAAGUGGAUGAUCUCUCUACACGUAUACACACGUCGCGCAGGAAUAGUUCAUCGGCACUUCGACGUCCAGUACGAAGAACCGCCAGAAGAAACUAGAUCGGAAAGUAGACGAUCUACUAAUUAGACGUCUAAACUUUAGAUGUCUAAACUUUAGAGGAGAGAGCUCGGACUUGACGGGCAAAGAACAAUUAGCGAGAGUGCUCCUAUAGCCGUCCACCCCUUCCCUC